GGUGAUAAUCGCAGUUGUUGUUUCCAUUAACCAUCAUAUUCCAGAUGAACUGAGAUACCAACUGCCUGCCGUGCUGGACAUUCAAGCACAGAUCUUCAAUGGCGAGGAGGCAAUAAUGACCACUGCAUUGAACUUAAUUGGGGUACCUAGAACCAACCAAGACAAUGUUCACUUGUGUCGAUAUCCCUUGGUUUCCAUGUUGAAGGAUGGUUUUAAGAUUAAAGUGACCAGGCGAAACCCGCCCUACGUACCGGGCGUAGAGCUGAAGAAAGCUGGGAUUUUUCUAGUUUAUGAAAACGAUGAUGAUUAUCGUGGCGAUGAAGAUUCACUGGACGAGAACCAGCAGUCUGUAUCAGAAAAAUUAGCCAAGUUUUUCAGCUCUCUUGAAGAAAAUGAUGGAAUUGAUCACCAAUCCAACUGCAGCCAUGAAAUAGAAGAAAAGCUUCAACUCCCAAGUAAGAAACAAAAACGUCGCCCAAUCAAAUCGUGCUGCAGUUGGUGCGGGAGGUUAAGCGUAAAAUCAUGAGAGAUUUCUGUUAUUUCACUUCACUCAAGUUGAACGCAGUAUACAUUCUUAGGAUUUAUUUUGAUGGAUAAUGAAAUAGAUUUUAGUGAGUUUAAAGACGAGGGUGACAAUAAAAUUAGUUAUGGGCAUAUUCAAGCCCUAAAGUAGCAACUUUAAUCCUAUAACAUAACCUAAUUAUUUUUCACUCAGGACUAUUCAAUAAAUUAGAUUUUAUAUAUUUGAUAUAUUUAAUCUGUUAACAACUUUAUGAUCUAAAAAAACUGAACUUUAAUUAGCGGACUCAAUUGAGCGGUUGUUUAUAUUAGAAUAUUUACCCCAUAACAUAACUUAAUUGUUUUUUCACUUGAACUAUGCUAACUUGUUCUUGUGAUUAGAAUAAAAGGAUAAUUACGAAUCAAUCUAUCUUUAUUAACUAUGUGUUAAUUUAAAUAUUAGAUAAGGGGCCCUUCUUGAAUCAAAAUAAAAAAUAAUACUUAAGAGACGAUUUUUUCUUAUCUCGUAAAUCGAAGAAUGAAUAAAUAACAAAACAUGAAAACUAAAACAUAAACUUUAAUCUUAUAAUCUUAUACCCGAGCUUGAUUUACCCCCUAAGCUAAUUAAUUUCUUAGCUAUUCGUAACAAAAGAUUGACUAAGGAAAUAAUAAAGGCUUUAUUCACAAUUUAACCCUUGAGCUAUACUUGUUUUCCCACAUUGAUACUUAAAUAUUUUUUAUAUCAAUUUGAUAUUUGAGUUUUGCAUCAUACUCGUUUUGAUACUCAAAAGUUAAUAAUAUAAAAAAAAAGUCAAUCAAAAUGUGUCACAUCAUUGAUGACAUGGCACAUUGAUCAAGUUGACUUGGUAUUGACUAACAUUGACUCUGUAUUGACCCACGGUGGUCUACGUUGACCGAGCAUUGACCAAUCUUUACCCUCUUUGAUUUAGGUUGACAAUGGAUAAAAAAUCAUUAAAAAGUAUAAAAGAAAUAUUUAAAAUGAAAAUAGCUUGUAAAAAAUUAUUUAAAAAUAUAUGAACAUAUAUAUAAAUUAUUUAAAAAUAUUAAAAUACUGCAAAAAAAUCUUUAAAAUUGUACAAAAAUGGUUAAAAAUGAAUAAUUUCCACGGAUAUUCACUCCUUUUAGUUUCCAUGGUGAUAAUAUUUACUUUUAAUGAAAUAUUUUUGCAAACACGUACAAUACAUUAAAAUUAAUAGUGUAGAUUGUGGUUUGUGAUACAUCUAACCCAAUCCCUUCUUUCACCGCAUUUUCUUCGUUUAGUGAAACGGAGUGUAUUGUACGUCAUUUUCAAGUCAUUAGAAGAAAUUAUUAUCAACAUGGAAAUUAAUAACUUUUAAAGAAUGUUUACAAAAUUUUAAUAUUUUAUAGUUUUUACAAGUUUUUAAAAAUAUUUUUAUAAUUAUUAAUUUUUUUACUAGUCAAACAUUGGUUAACACCCGGUCAAUGUAGGUCAACAUUGGUCAACACCAAGUCAACUUGCCACAUCCCCAAUUAACUUGCCAUAUCAUUGAUCAAUGUGUCAUGUCACUAGUUAACCUACCAUGUCAUUGAUGACAUGGCAUGUUUUGAUUGGCCAUCCUUUUUAACAUCGUUAGUUUUUAAAUACCAAAACGAGUAACGGUGCAAAGUUCAAGUAUCAAAAUGGGAUAAAAAAAAUUUAAGUACUAAUGUGGAAAAACGAAUAUAAUUCAAAUACUAAUUUGUGAAUAAAGCCAAUAAUAAAAGAAAUCUUUUGUCGAAAUUAAAACACGAAAGCAAGUUAAAAGGAGAGUGAGUCUCUCUCGCCAAAAAAAGAUUCAAGAUCGGGUCAGUUAUCAAUUGCUAUUGGAGUUAAUAAAUGUUGUGGAAAAGUGUAGUUUAUUAAAGUGUUUUGUAUUGCGGUAAAAAAUUGGGAUGGGGAGUUAAAAUGUUUAUUUUAGACAUGACAUGGAAAAGUAAAAAAUAAUUAAUUUAAAUUAUAUUUAAAUAAUUUAAUAUACCUAUACAUGGAAUAUAAAUUUUAAAUAUGUUUAAGUAAUUCAUAUAAAUUCGUUGUAAAAUUAAUGAUGCAUAAAAUAUUACAAAAAUUUAAAUAUAAUGAUAAAUAAUAUUUAAAUAGUUUAAUCUAAUGAUACAUGAAAUAUAAAUCAAUCUAAAGUUUUAAAUACAUUUUAAAUAACUAAUAUAAAUAAGGAUAUUUUGAUAAUUUUACUUCAAAACACAAAAAAUCAUAAGUAACUAAAUUUCAAAUUUUAAGCAUAAAAUCAUUUUUCAAUCAUAGUUUUAACCUCAAAAGUUAGGUGUUCUUCGUUACUUCUAAUAUUAAAAAGUGCUUUUAGAAUUCCAAACACAAUCAACAACAAAUCUAAAACUUUGUGUGUCUCGUUUAAGUGCCUCACUUCCUCCUAUAUAUAAGAGGAAUUACGAUCCAACUAAUCUUCUACACAAUAAAAAUAAUGGUAAACUUCAUCUAUAGUUGGUUUACAUUUUGGUCAUUUAACUUCAAAAAAUUAUAAAAUAGCCACUGAACUAUUCGAAAUUAAAUCACUGGGCUGUUAAAUCUUUUUUAAGCCUGCUGUUAAAUCUUUUUUAAGCCUAGUCAGAGAGCUCCAAGCGACGACUCAAUGAUCGAUAUGGUGGAUAUCAGUACCCAUCAAUGAGUAGAACAUACCUUAGAUUCAAGUCGAUCUAGCGGCCGGUGUUGAAGAUUGGAGAACAAAACUGUUUGGAUUUUGAUUCAUAGAUUCGUGAUGUUCAAACUAUCAUUUUAAUUAUAUUUAAUUUGGUGAAUUAUUUUUAUUACGUUAUUAAAAGUUAUUUAUUAAUUUGUGUAAAUUAUAAUCCAAGUUAAAAAUAUAUAUAGAUGGUUAGAACAUCAUUGGAUUCAAAUCUUGUUUUAUAAUCAAUAAAUUUGAAAUCGGAUAUCUAAAUCUGCAUCCUUGGUUUCAGUCGUUUGAAUGUGCCACUUUUUCCUCUUGGAAAAUAUAAAUAUGACAAUCAUACUAGUUUUCCCUUAAACCAAUACCCAUCAGUAGUAUGAAGUAGGAAAAAAAUACUGAGAAAAAUGCAGAAACUCGUCAUGUAAUUUGUUGUUUAGGAUUAUAACUGUUACUAGCUCGGGGAAAAUAAAAGAUAACAGUGAACUGGCUUUAUUUAUUUAUCACAAUUUCAACUUUUUAACUAACAAGACACUAAAACAAAGUUGAUUCAACAUGUCAGCAUCAGACAGUAAUUCUGAACAAGCAACUUUCUUGUACACCCAACGAUAAAUCAUUCUAGGAGAUUCUGUUCAGGUAUUAGUACAGACAAGGCUGACCUUUCAUAUAUGAAGAAAAAGAACACAUUCUCCCAAACACAACAAUCAAGAUGUUCAGGUACUGACUUUAGCUUUCUUUUAGAGCUCAAUGCCUCAUGUUGAGAAUGAAAAUAGAGUCUCUCUGGUUUUACCAGGAUGCAAUAUGCUUCUUUGGGUAUGACUGAAGGAGAGGAUUCAUUGGGAAAUUAAUGUUCUUCUUGCUGAUUGACAAUGACCUGUUGAGAUUAUGUUGUUCUUUCGAAACCACCACGAAUAUGCAACCACUCUGGUGAUGCACCGCGACUGUAUUCCCUCGUUGCUUGUGGACCAAAUGCCAUUCCAGUAGCAUCAAACGUUUGUUGGCCAUACUGAAAUGACAAAGCAGUUGUUAUAGCAGAUGUAAGUCUGGGGAAAAAGAAAAGAAUCUCUUCGAUGAAACAUUCCAAAGUUUUCCCCCCUAACAUGGUCAAUGCUGCUGUUGAAUAGAAUUAUUUCAUUCAACACAAAGCAGUUCAGGGACUACCUAAGCAAGUUCGAGAUGACUUGCGAGCAUCUAACUUUAGACAACUGAAACUUCAACAUAGAAAGCAUGUGUAUAUGCUAGCAACUGGAAAAUAUAAAUUGAAGUAAUUAAAUAAAACAACAAAAUCAACAACAGAUUAAAUACUAACAUCUUUAAGAGGAAAUACUUCAAUGGUAGGAUUCAUUCUUGAAUUAACUGCUUCAAGCUUCAUUGACAAGAACUGCAACAGCAGUAAUAAGAUUUCAGAAUAAAAGUUCGAGAUUACUGGGGGAAAAAUGUAAAAUAAAUACGAUAGAUGAGCAGAAGGAUGCACACACCUCAACCUGACGCUGUAGUGACUGAAUGUAAUUGAUUAUCUCAUCAAGAACAAGAGCCUCGCCAAUGACCUGAGUCCAAUAAACGACUUAGUAUGCGGCGUAAAUAUGCCAUGCUCAGGCAAACUGAAGAGAAAUUUUGAUAUGGUUUCGGUCAUCGACCAUGUCACCACAUAAGUUAUCAAUUUACCAAUAAGCAGAGACAGAUACAGCAAACCAGGGACUAGUUUUUUAACAUUUAGUAAUUAUAUAUAUUUUUGUUAUCUUUUACUAUCAAUAUUUUUUUCCUUUUAUUAAAUCUAAACAUAUACAAUUUAAAAUUUUUUAACAUUUACAUUAUAGUAUAAUAUAUUUAAUUUUUAUAUGAUAUAUAAAUUACUUAAUAUACUCAUGAUACCAGUGCUUACCCCUUUAAUUGUUAGAGUAUGCCCAAAGAUCAAUCAUGAGAUGGUUGUAAUAACAUACUUGAUUUAUCAUAUUUAUUAAUAUAAGGCGUUACCAUUAUUAUUUCAGUUUCUUUCUGUGGGUAUAAUAAAUUGUUUUAUAACAAUGUCCUGAGAAUAAUAUAAUUAUUCUUAAAAGUUCCUUAGUCAAAUAUUAUUGUUGGAUAGGACAACGAUAAUGCAUUAAGACUAACAUGUAGUUGAUUGAUGAUAAAGAGUUGUCAUUGAUAUGGAAUGUCAGAAUCGAUGCAUGAAUAUGUGUGUUAGAGAACAACAUAUUGGACUGACACGUUAUGAGUAUGUUUCUUGGACUAUUAUGUAAUUGUCAUGACAUUACUCAUAAUGAUUAAUAUGUAUAUGAUCCUCAGACUUGAGAUCAUCAUAAUCCCAACAUCGUGAGUUGUAUAUUUUGAUACAGUCAAACGUACACCGUAACUGGUUGUUCUAUAAAGGCUGAUGUUGGAUAUACCACAAUCUAUGUAGAGGGAUAUGGUUGGUCGAUAUAGGAUAAGUCCCUCCUACAUAAUGGGAGUAAUAUCUUAGGCCACUUGAUUGAGUGAGACUAGAAAUGCAUGGCCAUGCUCAAAUAAGCUGAUAUGAGAUGUCAUACUUAUUUGUAUAUCAUAGUCUACUUAAGAUGUCAAGGAAUGGAUUAUACAAGUGUGACUAUUCCAUGACUUGUGUUCAAUUUAGAGAUAAAGGACUUAAGGAUUAUGAAAAAACUAAUCUUAAAAAGGUUAUGUCGAAUCAUAAUUUCUUGUGACUUAGGUAGCAAUGAUGCAUUGCUAGGUGCCACUCAUUGUUUGUAACAUUGGAACCGUUCUAACAUUACUGCUAACGUUACAAGAACCUACAGGGUCACACCCUAUAAUUGAAAUGAACGGAAUAAAACAUAAUUGGUAUUGUGUUUGGUUGUCGCAUGAAUUAAAUUAAUUAUAGAAUUAAUUUAAUUGGGUAAUCAAAUAUCGAACACAUUAUAUGUACAAGGUUGUUGUACACAUAAUGAGAAUAUGAUUUUGGUUCGUAUAUAAAUAAAUAUAGUUUACCGAAAUCUUGAUUAUAAUUAAUGUAAUUAUAAUUUUCGGUUUUUAAACGUUAUUAUAUUUAUUUUAAUUUUGAGAAACCCUAAAAAUUAAUAUAAGAUAUAAAAUCCCAUAUUCUUUGUUUUGUGGGUCUGGCAGCCGUCAAAGCAAAGUCUUCUGUAAAAACUGUUUGGGGAUUCCUUCCGUUCAUAGUCAACUUAUAACAGCUCAAUUUUGACCCUAAUCGGACAAAGUGGUUUCGAGACCACGAAUCCGAGUCUAAAAAUAUUUUAAUAUUAUUUUAUGUGUUAAAUAUGUGUGAAAUUAUAUAUGUGAAAGUUUCGUGAAAUAAUUUUACUGUUUGUAUGCUUAAUUUGAGAAAAUGGCUAAAUCGCGUAAAGUGAAAAUUUGAGGGUUAAAUAUGAAAGUGCUUAAUUGUUUUUGUCUUUAUAAAUUGGAGGUUCUAUAUGGUAAUUAAGCCAUUUUCCAAGUUAGUGGACGGCAUUAGGUGAUAUAUAUGGUUUUCUUAUAUUAUUAAUAAAAAAUAUAUAUGUUAUAAUAAGGUAUAAUAUAUUAUUAUGUUAUAAUAAACAUUAAAAAAAGCCAUUAUCAUUUUUUUUCCUUCAUCUUCAUCACGAAACAAAACAAAAGAAAACAAAGAAACAAAGCUAAGGUAUUCGGCCAUUGUUGAGCUUGAUUCAAGGUGAGUUCUAGCUCGGGUUUUGAUAAUUUUUAUAUUUUUGAGAUCGUUGCUUCGAAUGCUAUCCGACCCAUGCUAGAAUUUUUGAUUUUGAUGAAUAUUUUGAGUUAUGUCAUUAAUGAAUAAUUGUGUUCUAUGAUGUUUGAUGAUGGAUUAUGAAAUAUAUGUGUUAGAUCAACAUGUUUUGUCUUUGAAUUUUUGGUAAAUUUGAGUAAUUAGGGCUAAAUUAAAAAAAUAAAUUUUUGAGGGACUAAAAUGAAAAAUAAAUGGAAUGCAUGGACUUUUUUGAAUACAGGGAAGAUUUGGCCUAGCUAUGUUGUUGUGAGAUUUUGUAUAAAUUGUGUUUUAUGCAAUUGAGAUUAAAUUGCAAAAAGUGUAAAAUAUUAGGGGUAAAAUGGUAAUUUGCCUAUUUAUGUGUUUUUGGAUUAAAUUGAAUGUUUUAAUAUUUAAAUUAGCUCAUUCGAGAUAUAUUUAGAUCAAGAAUCAAAGAAAUCAGAGUUAGAUCGGGGGAAAGCUAAAAUCGUCGAAUAAUCAUCCGGUUUCGAUUUUUCACCGUCCGAGGUAAGUCAACUAGCAAUUUAAUGUUAUUAAUUAAUAUAUAUAUAUAUAUAUACAUAUAUAUAUAUAUUGUAUUUGGAUGAGCUCAAAUUGAAAGUAUAUAGCUUGAAUUUAGUCAAAGUAAAAAUGAUAUGUAUAUAUAUAAAUAUAUGAUUAAUGUUCGAAUAUACAUAUAUGUAUACACAUAUAUGUAAGCUCUUGAAUUUAGUUGAAGAAUGAAUAUGGCUUAUGUAUAAAUUCUUGGUUAUUAAUCGAAAGGUAUGUAUAGUGUAUAUAUAUAUAUAUAAGGUUAGAAUGUAUAUAUAUAUGUAAGUACAUAUAUGUACAAACUAUUGGAUUGAUUAAAAAUAUAUAUGUUAUAUUUGCAUAAGUAGUUUUGAAAUGGUAUGUACAUGUGAGUUGAAAUUUAUAUGUAUAUGAUAGAAUUGAAUGAGCACAUAAAUAUAUAUUUACAUGUAUAUGUUUUUGUAUUGAGUUUGGGUAUAAUUUUUAUAUAAGUUUAUAUGAAGUUCGGAAAUACAAAUAUAAUUGAAUAUGUUUUUGUGUUAAAUUUAGGUAUGACUAUUAUAUAAAGUAUGUAUGAGACUCGAAUAUAUAAAAACUUAUAUAUGUACAUGUUUAUGUAUUGAAUUUAGGUAUGAUAAUUAUAUAAGUUUAUGUGAGAUUCAAUUAUGUAAUUAUAUUCAUGUGAAGCCUUUGAAUGGAGUUGAAGGUACAAAAUUGUUAGCUUGGAUUACUAUAAGAUGUUCGAAUGUAUGAUAUUAAUAGUAGGCCUUAAUGUAUUAAGUUAUAUAUCUGUAUAUGAUCAUAUGUACAAUUAAGUUAUUGAGCUGGAUUCAAUAUCUGAACUUUAUAUACCUAUGUGGUUUAAAGGUAUAAUUUAUAUAUAUUGAGCUAAAUUUUUAUACAUGGAAUCUUAUAUACAUAUACAUUUUGAAAGUGAUUUGUAUUUAUAUAAAUUGAGUGUUCAGGCUCGGUGCCUAGCAGGCUUGAUGCCAGUGAUAUGUUUCAGACUUUAAGUCUAGCAGGCUUGUCGCCGGUGAAACAUUUCAGACUUUAAGUUUAGCAGGCUUGGCGCCGGUGAAACAUUUCAGACUUUAAGUCUAGCAGGCUUGAUGCCGGUGAAACAUUUCAGACUUUAUGUCUAGCAGGCUAAGUGCCAGUGUAUUGAAUCAGGCCUUAAGCCUAGCAGGUUUUGUGCCGGUGAAUCUAUUCAUAUCAUGUGUUUACAUGUAUCGAAUAUGUGUAUGAUUUAGUCAUAUGGAUUUAUAGAAUAUGUAUAUACAUUUGGUCAUUGUGUUUGAUGAGNNNNNNNNNNNNNNNNNNNNNNNNNNNNNNNNNNNNNNNNNNNNNNNNNNNNNNNNNNNNNNNNNNNNNNNNNNNNNNNNNNNNNNNNNNNNNNNNNNNNNNNNNNNNNNNNNNNNNNNNNNNNNNNNNNNNNNNNNNNNNNNNNNNNNNNNNNNNNNNNNNNNNNNNNNNNNNNNNNNNNNNNNNNNNNNNNNNNNNNNNNNNNNNNNNNNNNNNNNNNNNNNNNNNNNNNNNNNNNNNNNNNNNNNNNNNNNNNNNNNNNNNNNNNNNNNNNNNNNNNNNNNNNNNNNNNNNNNNNNNNNNNNNNNNNNNNNNNNNNNNNNNNNNNNNNNNNNNNNNNNNNNNNNNNNNNNNNNNNNUGCAUAUUGUAUAUACAUAUUUAUAUAUUCAUUGGUAAGCAUUCUACGAGUACAUAUAUUUGAUUAUAAAUAAGAUGAUUAUGAGUACAAAUAUUCAAAUAGUAAUAUAUGUCGUAUUUGCGAUUUCAAUAAGUUUAAUUAUGAAUUUAUAUUAUUAUUCUUUUAUAUAUUUUUAGUUAUGCUAUAGACUUACUAAGCUAUGUAAGCUUACUUUGUUUGUUUACGUCUAUCUGUUUAUAGAUAAUAAUAAAAAAUCAAAUCAAGCUUUAAGCUCAGGGAUCGUCAGCAAGUUUAUCAUCUUAUCUAUUGUCUCGGUAUUUAAAAUAUUUAAAUUCUAACUAUGGCAUGUACAGACUAGAUAAAUGUUUUGAAGGUCGUACUUUGUUGUACUGUAUAUGAAUAUAAUAGCCAUACUAAAAUGAUUUAUUUCCUUAUAGAUUUGCUAGUUUGUAAUGUCUUUACUAGUUGGAUUAUAAUGUCUUUGUUUAUUAAAAAUGGUUAGAAGAGAAGUUUAACAUUUUGCAUAUUUAAUGUAUAUGUAUAUGUAUAAUAUAUAUGUAUUGAUUUUGAGAUGGUUGUGUUUUGUUCAGUAAUGCCUCGUAACCCUAAUUCGGCGAUGGAUACGGGUUAAGGGUGUUACACAACUGGGUGGAUUACGUAGAGGUCGGAGUCAUCAAAGAUUGCGGCUUGGUUCGACAGUAGAUCAGAUUACUUGUUGCCGAGGCGUCGCUGUCUACUCAGAAUCACCAUUCGGUAAUUUCGAAACCCUUUUUCACCCUGAUUCGUUCCUCACACUUGGAUCCAUGGUUAGGACCUUUAAUCUUAUAACAUAAUCUAAUUGUUUUUAACUCGAACUAUUCGAUAAAUUAGAUUAAAUAUAUUCGAUAUAUUUAAUCUGUUAGCAACUUUAAGAUCUAAAAAAAACUCAAUUUUAACUAGUAGACUCAAUUGAGCGGUUGUUUAUAUUAGAUUAUUCACCCCAUAACAUAACCUAAUUAUUUUUUCACUCGAGCUAUGCUAACUUGUUCUUGUGAUUAGAAUAUAAGGACAAUUACGAAUUAAUCUAUCUUUAUUAACUAUGUAUUAAUUUAAAUAUUAGAUAAGGGGCCCUUCUUGAAUCAAAAUAAAAAAUAAUACUUAAGAGAUGAUUUUCUCCUAUCUCAUAAACCGAAGAAUGAAUAAAUAACAAAACAUGAAAACUAAAACACAAACUUGAAUCUUAUAAUCUUAUACCUGAGCUUGAUUUACCCCUAAGUUGAUUAAUUUCUUAGCUAUUCAUAACAAAAGGUUGAUUAAGGAAAUAAUAAAAGCUUUAUUCACAAUUUAACCCUUGAGCUAUACUUGUUUUUCUACAUUGAUACUUAAAUAUUUUUUAUAUCAAUUUGAUAUUUGAGUUUUGCAUCAUACUCGUUUUGAUACUUAAAAGUUAAUAAUAUAAAAAAAAUGUCAAUCAAAAUGUGUCACAUCAUUGAUGACAUGGCACAUUGAUCAAGUUGACUUAGUAUUGACCAACAUAGUCUAUGUUGACCGAGCAUUGACCAAUCUUUGACCCUCUUUGACUUAGGUUGACAAGCUAUUGAGGGGUAAAAAAUCAUUAAAAAGUAUAAAAGAAAUAUUUAAAAUGAAAAUAGCUUGUAAAAGAAUAUUUAAAAAUAUAUGAACAUAUAUAUAAAUUAUUUAAAAAUAUUAAAAAAUUGUAAAAAGAUCUUUAAAAUUGUACAAAAAUGGUUAAAAAUGAAUAAUUUCCACGGAUAUUCCUUCCUUUUAGUUUCCAUGGUGAUAAUAAUUACUUUUCAUUAAAAUUAAUAGUGUAGAUUGUGGUUUGUGAUACAUCUAACCCAAUCCCAUCUUUCACUGCAUUUUCUUCGUUUAGUGAAACGGGGUGUAUUGUACGUCAUUUUCAAGUCAUUAGAAGAAAUUGUUAUCAACAUGGAAAUUAAUACCUUUUAACGAAUGUUUACAAAAUUUUAAUAUUUUUAUAAUUUUUACAAGUUUUUAAAAAUAUUUCUUUUUAUAAUUUUUUACUAGUCAAGCAUUGGUUAACUCUCGGUCAAUGCAGGUCAACAUUGGUCAACACCAAGUCAACUUGCCACAUCACCGAUUAACUUGCCAUAUCAUUGAUCAAUGUGUCCUGUCACUAGUUAACCUACCAUGUCAUCGAUCACAUGGCAUGUUCCAAUUGGCCAUCUUUUUUAACAUCGUUAGUUUUUAAAUACCAAAACGAGUAAUGGUAUAAAGUUCUAGUAUCAAAAUGGAAUAAAAAAAUUUAAGUACUAAUGUGGAAAAACGGAUAUAAUUCAUAUACUAAUUGGAGAUUAAAGCCAAUAAUAAAAGAAAUUUUUUAUCGAAAUUAAAACACGAAAGCAAGUUAAAAGGAGAGUGAGUCUCUCUCGCCAAAAAAAUAUUCAGGAUUAAGGGUCAAUUAUCAAUUGCUAUUGGAGUUAAUAAAUGUUGUGAAAAAGUGUAGUUUGUUAAAGUGUUUUGUAUUGUGGUAAAAAACUGGGAUGAGGAGUUAAAAUAUUUAUUUUAGACAUGAUAUGGAAAAGUAAAAAAUAAUUAAUUUAAAUUACAUUUAAAUAAUUUAAUAUACCGGAAUAUAAAUUUUAAAUAUUUUUAAGUAAUUAAUAUAAAUUAGUUAUAAAAUUAAUGAUGCAUAAAAUAUUACAAAAAUUUAAAUAUAAUGAUAAAUAAUAUUUAAAUAGUUUAAUCUAAUGAUACAUAAAAUAUAAAUCAAUCUAAAGUUUUAAAUGUAUUUUCAAUAACUAAUAUAAAUAAGGAUAUUUUGAUAUUUUUACUUCAAAACACAAAAAACCAUAAGUAACUAAAUUUCAAAUUUUUAAGCUUGGAUAGAAAAUCAUUUUUCAAUCAUAGUUUUAACCUCAAAAGUUCGGUGUUCUUCGUUACUUCUAAAAGUGCUUUUAGAAUUCCAAACACAAUCAACAACAAAUCUAAACUUUAUGUGUCUCGUUUAAGUGCCUCACUUCCUCCUAUAUAUAAGAGGAAUUACGAUCCAACUAAACUUCUACACAAUAAAAAUAAUGGUAAAUUUCAUCUAUAGUUGGUUUAUAUUUUGGUCACUUAACUUCAAAAAGUUACAAAAUAGCUUAAACCCGAUCACUUCUCCCUUGAUUUGUUCUCGGAUAUCUGAAUACAGCACGGCUGCCUCGUUUCCUCAACUAUCCACAAAUACGACUCUAACCCAAUGCCCUUUUUUAUUUGAAAUCGAGUUAAAUUUAAAGGAUGAAUUUGUCAAUCUUGAUACUUAGGAAAAUAGUGAAUAUCGAUUGAAAGGAUUUUUAGUAUGGAUACGUAUCUCAUGAUUCCCGACCGGAAAGAAUGCCAACCUAAAGCUAAAUUACAAUUUAGUGAAGCAUGGAUUUAAUCAUGCUUUGGUUGGCUAUGGAGUGGAUUUGAAUGAAAAUCGUGGAAGUUGAGAAGGGAAGGGACUUGGAAAGCAAUUAAACAAAUUUUGCAAAAACAAGGAAAUGGAAAUGAAAGUAGCACUAGCUACCAACGCAUCAAUUUGAAGGAAAAUAAUAAUUCUUAUUUAAUUCCAAGUGAAAUCAAGUGUCUUUUCAAGCUACCACAAAUGCCCUAUUUAUAUAUAUAUAAUUUACUAAAUUUGACCUAAUUGCCCAUUACACAUAAUUAAAAUUAAAUAAAAAUAAAAUCAGAUUUUAUUUUUAUUUUAGCUUUCACAAAGUCAAAAGAAAUCUGACCAGUCUUUGAUUAUUUCUAAGUUUUUUAUUUGGUACCACUUUAUUGACUGUUCUGCAAAUUGGUAUUUUUUUGCUCAUUUUUUGACUCAUAGCAUUCAAAUUGCAUUCUUGACAAAAUUAAAAUAUAAAAUUACUAAUUUAACAAGGAUCAAUUCAAGAAUUAACCGAUUUAAACACAAAAUAAUACAAAUUUAACAUGUUAUAAGAACUUUCAUGGGAAAACAACCUCAUGGUUUUCUGCGGUCAAAACCCAAAAUAUAGGUGUCAUCAUUGAGGACAACAAGUUAUUGUACAACACAAAACCCUAAGUGAUCAACCUAAGGUUCCUUGCCAUAGUAUGCUUAAUGUAAACCAUUUCUGUAGUGAUGGUAGCCAAAUAUGCAAAUGCCCAUAAUAUGCAAUAAACGUAAAAGCAGAAUCACUAGCUAUAUACUCAAUAGUACCACCCAAAAUUAUCAAAAGAGACAUAAAUGUGAGCUUUGAAGGACAAGGUUGCCUCCUAAAGGUUGUAUAAGCCAAGGCAACCAAAAUGGGUGUCAAUGAUCUAAACACUAUGAAAGUCUCCACAUUGGCAUGGUUCAUGAAAGUUUUGGUCAAUGAUUUACAUGUUGUGUGUUAAUGCAAUUAUACAUAAAAGUUGGUUGAUUUCUUGGUUACAUGGAUUACAUGGUUAAACAUGUUUAUUAUUGUCAUUUGAGGUGCCUAAGGGCAUAUUGGUUGUAUGUGAAUAUACUACAUGUUUAAGACUUGAUUUUGCUUGUUUUGGAUGCCAUGAUAUGACUUGUUUAUAUCCAUAAUGUUGAUUAUAGGUUGACACCAAAUUGAGUGAGAAAUAUGGCUUGUAAAAUGGCUUAUUUUCGUCCACACGGGCAGAGACAUGGGCGUGUGUCUCAGCUAUGUGUGAUACACCGCCAGGUGACACGGCCGUGUGUCCCUUGUAUCUUUUAAAGAGUGCAAGUCAAUAUAUUCAUACGGCUUGGCUCAUGGGCAUGUGGCUUGACCCUGCAGCUUUGAAAAUUUUUAAGUGUUUCCGAAAAAUUUUCUAAGUUUCUGAUUUAUUCCCGAUUUGUUUCUAAUUAUGUAUAAUUUUGAUUGGUUUUUGACAUGAAUGUUAUGUUAUAUGAAAUGUUGAAAUUUCUAUCUGUUUAAUUUGUAAACUCCGGUAAUGCUUCAUAACCCGGUUUCGGCGAGGGAUACGGGUUGGGGGUGUUAUAGGCCUUUCUAUUAAUGCCACUUGACACGUGCCCUCCAAGCAUGGUGCUGCGAGUGAGUGUCCAUCCACCCAUUUUUACUGUAGAAACUCAUAUUUUGCCCGGUAUAGGUGCUUGAUACCGAUGUCGCCAUAUAUGACCCUUCCACCAUUUAAAUAUUCUUUUAAAACAAAUUAUGGGCUAAUGAUGGAAAUGAUAAGGCAUAAAAAAUGGGAGGUGUCGCCACCCGUUCAAGCACCACCCCUUGGCACUGUUCAUUUCAUAAUAUUUUUGUAAAUAAUGCCAUGAGGAUACCAUUUUGGUAUUUAGUUAUUUUUUGUAUUAUCGGAGUAAAAAAGCCUAUUAUUUUGCUAUUAUAUUAUUACUAUUUUGUUGUUAUUUUUUGGAUAUUGCAUAACUUCUAUUUUAUUAUUAAUUUUACUACUAUUUUAAAAGUAUUUACUUUCUAAGUUGCAUCUAUUUUAGUAUUAUUUAAAUUUAUUUAAUAUUCUUUGUUUAUCGGGAAACAUUUAUUUUAAUGGUUAGAAGCAAGUCAAUGAAGAUUGUAUCAAUUUUAGGAUUAAAUUAUAAUAUUAUCAUAUACUAAUUUAUUUUAUAAAAUUUAUAGCACCAAACAUGCCAUUUUUCAUGGAUGGAGAAAAGUGAGACAUGGGAAGAUAGUUGCAAAAUUUCUGGGAAGAUAUACUUUUUUAAAAAUAUAUUAAUUGAUAAUUAAAUAAAAAAUAUUUGGAUAAAUUAUCUAGUUGGUGAUCCAAUUCUUUGAACGUUUUUAUUUUAAUCACUCAAAUUUAAAAAAAAAACUUAUAAUUUAAUCACCACCCAUUAAAAUUUUUCGGCAAAUUUAUCCACUAAUCAAAAUUCUCCUUCAUUCUUCUUUUAUGUUUUGGUAAUAUUUCUUUCUCCUCCUUCCCUAACCCAACUUUGUUCCCUUCCCAUGCCCCUGCUUCCAGCACCCGACUCGGCCAUAUCACCCCACACCAAUUCUUGAUAACUAGAGAUGCAUUCCCCUACUCUAGAACUACCCUCUGUUGUGUUAUAUACAUCUCAUCAUUGUUUGAAUUAUCUCCUUGAGGUUGUGCUGGUGGAGGCUGCAUUACCAUUUUUGGUCCUUGUUCUUGCUUUGAACUUGAUGGACGUCGAAACCACCAAAAAUAAUUCUUACAAUUAAAAUAACUCUAAAUAGUAGUAAAGAGUGUAGUAGGGUCGAGUCCACAUGGAUUGGUAUUAUAAUCAACUUUUGCGUUUAACUUAUGAUUAGAAUUUCUGUCGUGUCGAUAGCCGUGGCAAUAGUCAUGCCUCCGACUCCAAAUGAACCUAUUGAAAAAUAAACAAAUAAAUCAGGGGAUUUUUAAAAUGUUUAGAAACUAAAUAAUUGAAAUAACAUAAAUAAACAAUUAAUUAAAUUUGAAAUAAAAUUAAAUUGGGAAUUAAAUUUGGAUUUUGUAAACAAAGAUAAUAAGCUUUAGCCCUAGACUCGGUGGAUUCCGGAUUUUGAAUCAAUCCUUAAAAAUUAAUUUUCUCCUCCAAAUAAUAAGCUGGUUAUAGCACUUAAGAAUGUCAUAACUGUCAAUUCUUUCUCUCGUAGUUGAUCCCGGCACGACCUGCAAACCAACCAUUACCGAUUAUCUAACCGAGAUACACGCAUUUUCGAUUCAAGAUUCUGACAGCCUUGCGUUCUGAAGAACCUAACUCAGAUUAACGGCAUCAAUCGCACGGGUAGUUUAAACCCGAUCAUUCCUCCCUUGAUUUAUUCUCGGAUAUCUGAAUACAGCACGGCUAACUCGUUUUCCCAACUAUCCACAAACAUGACUCCAACCCAGUGCCCUUUUUUUAUUUGAAAUAGAGUUAACUUUAAAGGAUGAAUUUGUCAAUCUUGAUACUUAGGAAAAUAGUGAAUAUCGAUUGAAAAGAUUUUUAGUAUGGAUACGUAUCUCACGAUUUCCGACCGGAAAGAAUGCCAACCUAAAGCUAAAUUACAAUUUAGUGAAGCAUGGAUUUAAUCAUGCUUUGGUUGGCUAUGGAGUGGAUUUAAAUGAAAAUCGCGGAAAUUGAAAAAGGAAGGGACUUGGAAAGCAAUUAAACAAAUUUUGCAAAAAAUAAUUAAAUGGAAAUGAAAGUAGCACUAGCCACUGACUCAUGAAUUUGGAAGGAAAAUAAUAAUUCUUAUUUAAUUCCAAGUGAAAUCAAGUGUCUUUUCAAGCUACCACAAAUGCCUUAUUUAUAUAUAUAAUUUAUUAAAUUUGACCUAAUUGCCCAUUACACAUAAUUAAAAUUAAAUAAAAAUAAAAUCAGAUUUUAUUCUUAUUUUAGCUUUUACAAAGUCAAAAGAAAUCAGAUUAGUCUUUGAUUAUUUCUAAAUUUUUUAUUUGGUACCACUUUAUUGACUGUGCUGCAAAUUAGUAUUUUUUUUCUCAUUUUUUUGAUUCAUAGCAUUCAAUUGCAUUCCUGCCAAGAUUAAAAUAUAAAAUUACUAAUUUAGCUAGGAUUAAUUCAAGACUUAACCGAUUUAAUCACAAAAAAUAAUACAAAUUUAACAUGUUAUAAGAACUUUCAAGGGAAAACAACCUCAUUAUAUUAUCCAGUUAGAACCCAAAAUAUAGGUGCCAUCAUUAAGAACAACAAGUUAUUGUACAACACAAAACCGCAAGUGCUCAACCCAAGGUUCCUUACCAUAUGCUAAAUGUAAACCGUUUCAGUAGCGAUGGUAGCCAAACGCAAACGCCCAUAAUAUGCAAUAAAAGUAAAAGCGGAGCUACAUAAUAGUACCACCCAAAAUGAUCAAAAGAGACAUAAAUGUGAGCUUUGAAGGACAAGGCUGCCUCCUAAAGGUUGUAAAAGCCAAGGCAACCAAAAGGGGUGUCAAUGAUCUAAACACUAUGAAAGUCUCCACAUUGACAUGGUUCAUGACGUAAAAAUCCAAACUUGCCCAAUACCCACCCUAAAGCAAAAGUUAAGUAAUGUAAUGCAAUCAAUAAAUCUGGGUAAUUGAAUUUGGUAAUUGCAACUUUGUUUAUAACAGCGCGUAAGCUUGAACAAAAUGCUUAAACUGCUUGUAGCAUUGAAGUUUUUUAGUCGAUUCAAAUCUAAUGGUUGACAUUUUGGUGACCCAGAAAGAUUUGUAAGAUUCAAAUGAAGAAAAUGGAAUAAAAUAAUAAUAAAAAUGCAGUUGCAGCAAUACAAGAAAGAGUUUAAAGCUUUAACAGAGAAGAAACUGCAGAGAAUAGUUUUUAUUUAUAUAUAUGUAUUUAAGUUAUUCAGUAUUCAGCCCUUUAAAUAGCUGAGUUACAACGUAGGUUGUUUCCAAAAAUAUCAAUUCUGAGAAUCAGAAUACUAACAAUUCCCUUCAAAAUAGGGAUAUGCUCUAACUGUGAAACAAAUUUAUUGGAUUUCAAAUAAACAAGAAAUCAAACUAACGUUCCUUAAGCAAAUAACUAACACUCCUCCUUGGUUAAGGAACUGCAAACUCCAAUUCUCUGCCUUAGAUACUCGAACAUGUUGGCUGGAAGCGACUUUGUAAAUAAGUCUGCUAGUUGUUCUUCAGACUUGCAGUAAACCAAAGUAACUUCACCAUUCUGUUGUACUUCCCUCAAGAAGUAAAGUUUGAUGUUGAAAUGCUUGGUCUUCCCAUGGAACACUGGAUUUUUUGAGAUUGCAAUAGCUGCUUGAUUGUCAACAAAAAUCUCAGUAUCGUUUUUCUGCUCCAUAUGCAAGUCACACAUUAUCUUUUUCAGCCAUAACACUUGAUUAGCUGCUGCAGUUGCUGCAAUGAACUCUGCUUCUGCAGUGGAUUGAGCUACAAUCUCUUGUUUUUUUGAAGACCAUGAGAAAAUUCCAGAACCUAGGCUGAAACAAUAUCCUGACGUACUUUUCAUAUCAUCAAAAGAUCCAGCCCAGUCACUAUCCGAGAACCCAUACAACUUGAAGUUUUGGGACAUCUCAAACUUGACACCGUAAUCAACAGUACCUUUGAUAUACCUCAAUAUUCUUUUUGCUGCUCUCAAAUGCAUUUCACUAGCACAAUGCAUAAAACGAGAUAAAAUACUUACAGCAAACAUGAUGUCGGGCCUUGUUGCAGUGAGAUACAUUAGACAUCCAAUCAAGCUUCUAUAGUAUCCUUCAUCAACUUUAUCGACUCCAUCUUCUUUCAUCAGCUUCUCCUUUUGAUUCAUUGGUGUGCUCAUGGCUUUACAUUCAUCCAUCUGAAAUUUCUUCAAAAUUUCUUUUGCAUAUUUUUCCUGACAUAUCAGCACCUUGUUCUUACAUUGCUUGAUCUCCAUUCCAAGGAAAAAAGUCAUAAGACCAAGAUCUGUCAUUUCAAACACUUGCAUCAUUUCUUGUUUAAAUUUCUCAACCAGCAUUGUAUUAUUUCCUGUCACCAAAAGAUCAUCAACAUAUAGUGACACAAUGAGAGUAUCUACUUCUUUAUGUUUCACAUAAAUAGUGGAUUCUGAGAAGCUUUUAACAAAGCCAAGACUUAACAAAUGAGUAUCGAUCUUGCUGUACCAAGCUCUUGGAGCUUAUUUUAGGCCAUAGAGAGCCUUUUUGAGCAGGUAAACUUUUUCUUUUUCGCCUUGCUUCACAAAUCCCUCAGGUUGCUCCACGUAUAUUUCUUCUUGUAAUUCGCCAUUCAAAAACGCUGAUUUGACAUCUAAUUGGAACACUUUCCAGCCUUUUUGUGCCGAUAUUGCAAGCAACAAUCUGAUCGUAUCUAAUCUUGCAAUAGGAGCAAACGUAUCAGAAUAAUCAACACCAUAAAUUUGAGCAUACCCUUUAACGACGAGCCUUGCUUUGUAUUUGUUGACGGAGCUGUCGGCAUUAAACUUUGUUCGGAACACCCAUUUGACUCCAAUAACUUUUCUCCCUUCAGGCUUUUCUACCAGCUCCCAUGUCUCAUUUUUGUUAAUCAUUGUCAUCUCUUCCUCCAUUGCUUUCCUCCAUUUUGGAUCUUUUAAUGCAUCAUCAUGGCUGGCUGGUUCGCAAACUGCCACAUUGCAUCUUUGAUAGAUAUCUGAAAGUAGCCUUGUACCUCUAACUGGAGGAUCAUCUUCUAACUCAUUCAUCCAUUCGUCGGUUGUUUCGAAAGCACCUUUCGGUUCUUGAGACAUCUCUUUUUUCUGUGAAAUCAUCCAAUCCCACUGCUCGUCCUCGUUGAAAUGUACAUCUCGGCUAAUUGUCAAUUUUCCGGUUUGAGGAUGAUAAACCUUGUAGGCUUUUGAAACUGAACUAUAUCCCACGAAGAUGCCAGGAAUUGCCUUCUUAUCAAGUUUGUCACGUUUAACCUUUGGAACAUGAACAAAACAUAUGCAGCCAAAUACUUUAAGAAAGCUAAGUGAAUGUUUAUAACCGUACCAAGCUUCGAAUGGAGUCUUGUCUUCCAAAGCUUUGGUUGGAAGUCGGUUCUGUAAAAAAACUGUCGUGUUGGUUGCCUCUGCCCAAAAUGUCUUUGGCAACUCCUUUUCAUGCAACAUACAUCUAGCCAUCUCCAUUACGGACCUAUUCCUUCUCUCGCUGACCCCAUUUUGUUCCGGAGUGUAUGAAGCAGUAAGCUGAUGUUUAAUGCCAGCUUCUUCGCAAAAUAAAUUGAAUUCUGCCGAAGUAUACUCCUUCCCGUUAUCGGAUCUCAACACCUGAAUUUUGCAGCCACUUUGAUUUUCUACCAUUUUCUUGAACUUCCAAAACACACCAGCCACUUCUGAUUUGAAUUUCAAGAAAAAAAUCCAGCACAUUCUUGUAAAAUCAUCAAUGAAAAUAAUACAAUAAAUGCUACCUUGUAAAGAUGGUGUUCUUUGUGGUCCGGCAACAUCAGUAUGAAUUACUUGCAACUUUUGAGAACCUCUCCAAGUUGAUUUCGGAAACGGCAGCCUAUUUUGUUUACCGAAUUGACAGGCGGCACAAUUUGGAAGAUGAUCAUCAAGUUCUGGCAUUCCUUUUAUCAUGUCUUUCUUCUUCAUUUUCAGCAUUCUUUGAAGAUGACAGUGACCAAGCCUUUUGUGCCAAAUUUCCGUAGUGCAAACUUUGUUGACGUAGGCUAUUUGCUCCUCCUCCGUUGGAUCAAAUGAGAAACUUUUACCCCUCAUUUUAACCCGUAAAAUCUCUUUUCCAGCAACAUCAUAAAUGCAACAAUAGGAAUUUUCAAAGGAUACUUUAAAUCCUUUUUCUAUAAGCUGGCCAACACUCAACAAAUUUUUAUCAAUUUCAGGAACAUAAAGUACAUCUGAGAUUGUUUUUGUACCUGAACUUGUUGUAAAUGCCACGGUUCCCGACCCUUUUGUGGAAAUAUAGCCACCAUUUCCAAUUCUGACCUUCAUGACUCUCGGCUUCAAAUCCUUGAAGAGAGUUUUGUCCGGAGUCAUAUGGUUUGUACAACCACUGUCAAUCAACUAGCUUUCUGAAGAACUUUUAGUUGAAAAACAUGCUGCGACAAAUAUCUGAUCUUCCUCGUCUUGAUCAGCCACAUGGACUUCUUUAAGCUUCAACUUAUUGCUUCUGCAAACCACGGCUUCAUGUCCAAGUUGAUUGCAUUUGGUACAUUUAGCAUCUGGUCUCCACCAACAUCUGAACGGUGGAUGGCCUUUCUUUUCGCAGUGCUGACAAGGCAGAUAGUCUUUCUUUGAUUUUCUACCCUUACCUCGAGUGUGAGUGUUCGAAGAAUUUGCUGCAGAUGUUACUUGUGUUUUUCUCUCAGUAUUCUUCUUGUGCUUUCCUCCUUCCUGGUGCCUAGCUAGCAAAGCUCCUUCUACUAUUUGUUCUUGCCUCAUGAGUCUUCGCUGUUCUUGAGCUUGCAAAGAAUUCAUCAAUUCUGCCAAACUGAGUUUAGACAUAUCUUUUGUAUUUUCCAAGGUGGUUAUUGAAGCUUCAUAUCUUUCAGGCACUGUUACAAGAAUUUUUUCAACAAUUCUAGAAUCUGGAAAUUUAGUGCCAAGUAACCUUACCUUGUUGGCAAUUUCAUACAAUCUGUCUUGGUACUCUUUGAUUGUUUCUGACUCUUUCAUCCUUUGCAAUUCAAACUCCCGUAUUAAAUUUAGCACCUGCAUUCCUCGUAUCCGGUCAUUUCCUUCAUAUUCUUCUUUGAGAUAGUCCCACACUUCUUUUGCUGAUCGGAGAGUGAGAACUUUUGUGAAAACGUUUGUUGAAAUAGCAGCAAACAGAGUUGAUUUUGCCUUAGCUUUUCGGGUCUUCUUUUCCUUGUGAGUUUUGAUUUGGACCAUGGUAGGAUUGUUCGGCAGCGGAGGUAUUUCGUAAUCCUCUUCCACGGCCUCCCAAAGAUCCAAAGCCUCAAGGUAAGUCUCCAUCUUUACUGCCCACAGAUGAUAAUUCUGACCAUCAAAAACAAGAGGAGCAAUUUGAGAAAAGCUGGUUUCGGUCUCCAUUUCACACACAGAUCCUUUAAGAAAAUAGCUCGGAUACCAAUUGUAAGAUUCAAAUGAAGAAAAUGGAAUAAAAAAUAAUAAAAAUGCAGUUGCAGCAAUACAAGAAAGAGUUUAAAGCUUUAACAGAGAAGAAACUGCAGAGAAUAGUUUUAUUUAUAUACAUGUAUUUAAGUUAUUCAGUAUUCAGCCCUUUAAAUAGCUGAGUUACAACGUAGGUUGUUUCCAAAAAUAUCAAUUCUGAGAAUCAGAAUACUAACAAUUCCCUUCAAAAUAGGGAUAUGCUCUAACUGUGAAACAAAUUUAUUGGAUUUCAAAUAAACAAGAAAUCAAACUAACGUUCCUUAAGCAAAUAACUAACAAGAUUAUAAAUUUAUUCUCAAAAAAUAACUAACACCCAAAGUUAAAAACAAUGGCAGAUGCAUUAAUGGGAAUUAUAACAGGAUGAGGGUAGUAGAGAAUGUUAUAUGAUUUGACAAGAAAAAUCAACCAAUAAACAAAUUUAAAAGUAUAAUGAUGAAAUUAAAAGAGAAAUACAAUGGAAACAGAGAUCGAGAUGAAUGGUUGUGGGAAGAGCUGAAACGAGGUUUUAUGGAGAGAAGAAAGGUAUGGGGUUGGCCAUUGAGGCGUAAAGGCUGUGCACUAUAAGCAAAAUCAGCGUGUUUCAGAGGUUGUUUCCCCACGUCCCACGACUCUGGUUAGGGAAGAAUGAUGAAAUAUGACCAUGAAAAAAGUGAAAAGAAAUUUUGAUUGGUGGAAAAGUUUGACUUGGUCAAAGAAGUAUUUUAUAGUGGAUUUGGUGUGCCAAGUCAGACGUCCAUUAUGGGGCUACAAUAAAAAAAAUUCUAAGGCAGUGACUAAAGUACAAAUCUUUUAAUUUGAGUGAUCAAACUAGAUAGUUUACCCAAAAUAUUUUUAGGUGACACUGAAACGUGUUCCUCACUUGGCCUCGUAUUCCGAGUGAGCGAAUGUAAAACUUAUCGUCUCAUGGCUGCUUCAAAUGAAUCUGACCACCUUCUUUUUGCACGCACCGACAUAGGUAAUUAAUGUUACUUAAGUGACACGAAUAUUAAGUGGGAUCGAAAAGCUAAAGAGGAGAGAGAGAAGAAAUAAAAUGGAGAGCGCCGGUGUAGUUUCAACCACAACUCCGACGUCUUUCAGGCUCCGAUGGGACGUGUUCCUCAGUUUCAGAGGCGAAGAUACUCGUCACGGUAUCACCAACGCCCUGUAUUGCUCGCUUGUGGGAGAAGGCUUGCGAGUCUUUCGAGAUGAUGACGCUUUGAGACGUGGAGACGAGAUCGCACCGAAUUUGGUGGAAGCCAUCGAAGACUCGGCUGCUUUCGUUGUCAUUCUCUCUGAAAAUUACGCUACCUCCCGUUGGUGCCUUGAAGAAUUGGCGAGGAUCUGCGAGUUGCGUAGCCGGAGCCGGAGCCGGAGACUGGUUCUGCCUGUGUUCUUUGGGGUUGACCCCUAUCAUGUUCGAAAACAGAGGGGACCUUUUAAGGAAGCCUUCUUUAGCCACGAAAACAGAUUCGGAGAAAAACAGGCCAACAGAUGGAGGGAAGCCAUGGCCAAAGUUGGUUCCCUUGCUGGUUUAGUUAAAAGGUAAGCUUUUCCCCUUUUGUCUACUAAUUACCUCAAAUCUCUCGUGUUUCUGCAAUUAUUUUAAUUAAAUAUUUUGAUAUAAAUUUAAGAAAUUAAGAAUCACACUACCAUGCGAGUGAGGAAAGAAUCUUAAUUUUAAAAAAAUUAAGAUAAAAUUAUAAAUAACUUAGGUUUUAAAUAAUUUUAUUGAGAUUUAAGAAGUUAGAAAGAUAAAUUUAAAUUUAGUGUUAAUGAUUGUUUUAGGUUUUUAUUUAGUUAACAAUCUAUAUUUCAAAUUAAUUCGCUUAUCUAGCUUUCAUACACACAAAUUGAUAGUGUGUGUUAUUUAAAUUUUAAAUUAAUUGCAAAUUUUAGCUUAUAAUUAAAAAAAAAAAGUAGAAAUUUGUGUUUAUUAUUAAGUAAUUUAUUGCAUGAUUAUAAAAUGAAUUUAGUUAAUAUAAGGUGUUUAUGAGCCGUGGUCCUAUGGUAUUAACUAUUAAUAUAAUGUAUAGUUGCUUUAGUCUAACCCUCAAAAAAAUUUGAAAUGAUUGAAGUUUUUCUAUUUAGAAUUGUCUUGGGUCUAAUUUCUAUUACUUUGGUUGGAUUAAUCGUAACUGCAUAUUUACAAUACAAGCCUGGUGAUCAGUUAAACCUUUGAUUAAUUAACUUACCUUACCUUUUUUUACUAACCCCUUUAAUUCUUUAAUUUUAAUUUAAUUCAAUGAGGUUAAAUUCGAAUUGCUGUUCAAAAUUUUUUCAGUUUGGUGUAAUUUUCGAACUAACAAAAGUAAAAUCACGCUCUGUAGGAUUUGAACCUAUGACAUUGGGUUUUGGUCUUGAACUAUGAACAUUAAAUUUUGUUCAAAACCAUUUAUAUUUAUAAACAACUAACUAAAUUCAUUUAAGCUUAUUUAUAUAUUUUUUAUUAAAUAAAAUAUAAUUAUUUUUAUUUAAUAUUUAGUAAUUAUAUAUAUUUUGUCAUCUUUUACUAUCAAUAUUUUUUUUCCUUUUAUUAAAUCUAAACAUAUACAAUUUAAAAUUUUUUAACAUUUACAUUAUAGUAUAAUAUAUUUAAUUUUUAUAUAAUAUAUAAAUUACUUGAUAUACUCAUGACCAGUGUUUACCCCUUUAAUAAGCCUACAGAACGUGGAUGAUUUGUAAUUGGGCUCGCUUCAGUAGAUAUCUUGAAAAACCAAAAUAAAAUAUAACACAAUCUCCGAUUCAUUCAAGGAUUUGAUCAUUGAUACAAAAAUGAUUUCAUUGCUUUUUAAUAAAUUGGUUAUUGUUGCUGACGAUUGUCUAGCAACUUAAUCUUUUUACCUUCUUGAUAACCAAGACAAUCGUCAUUAAUUACUUUCCUUAUUGACAAAUAAUAUUAUAACAAUCGUUUAGGAUUUAAUCUAUCAAUAGUAACAAAAAAAAAAUCCAAUUCUGACCAACAAACAUACAAUCAAGGUUCAUUUAAGUUAGAUCGAAUGCUCACACUACACGAACAAAGAUGUAGUAACUCAAGUUAUGACUAAAAUAUUGGAACUGUAUUGUAUUAAAAGUCCAAAUCGCAAAAACUUGUCAAAAUUAUACUUUAAACUCAUUUUUCUCUAAUUAGUCUCUAAAUUUAUAAUAAAUAAAAUAUAUUUAUAAAUGAUAUAAUUAAAAACAUAAUUAGAGAAAAAAUAUAACAAAUAAUUUAGAAAUUACGCAUUUUAUCAGUAACAUUGCUUUAAUAUAUUUUUCUAAACUUCUCAUUCUUAUAUGUUUAUGCACACUCAAAAUCUCGUUCAAUAGCAAUCAAGUUAAAAGUCUAUCAGCUAAACUCAAUUAAUAUUUUAAUUGUGAUCUUUAAACCAAUAACAUUAUCCAAGAGAAUGCCUUUACUUUAUCAUGAAUGAAAGAUAGUGGUUGGCAAUUAGAAUACCUAUAAAGCUGUAAAUUAUAUUAGAGUAGAAGUCGAAAUCCCAGAUUUUUUAAAAAAAAGAAAGCAAGGCUCGACACAUUUAUCUAAGAUGUUCCAAGUUUUCAUUGCUGCAAUAGUUUGAUGCAACUCUUCUUUACCAAGUAGGGUCUUCUAACUUUUACGGUGCAUUCAGGUUGGUUGACAGUGAUGAAAGGGAAUUGAUUCGGGUUCUGCUGAGAGAAGUUCUGCAACAAGCGAAUAAUACUCCUGUGGAAGUUGCAACCUACGCAGUUGGACUGGAUACGCGGGUGACAGAGCUAACAAAUCUCUUAGACGUGAAGUCCAAUGGCAUUAAAGUUGUGGGGCUUCAUGGGAUUGGCGGGAUUGGGAAGACAACCCUUGCCAAGGCUGUCUUUAACAAGAUACUCGUACACUUUGACCACCGCAGCUUUAUCUCAAAUGUCAGAGAACUUUCAAAACAAGGAGACGGUUUAGUAUCUCUCCAGAAAAAACUCAUUGGUGAUCUCUUCGGUUCCACUGGUAAUUUUCAUCUUCCUGCGGAUGAAUUCGAUGCUAAUGCCUCGAGAAUCAGAAAGAUUAUUAAUGAAAAUAUUAAUGAAAAAAGGGUUCUAAUUGUCCUGGAUGAUGUCGACCAAGAAAACCAACUGAAUGCACUAGGACUAGGUGCAAGAGUCAAAUGGCAAAAUGAUGGCAGUAUUCGGAUCAUUAUUACAACAAGAAAUAAAGGAGUUUUAAAUGAAUGUUAUGUAAAUCGGACUUACGAGGUCAGGGAAUUGCAUUUUGAUCAAGCACUAGAACUUUUCAGCUAUCAUGCGCUCAGAAGAGAGAAACCAACAAAAGAGUGAGAAAUUGUCCAAGCAAAUUGUAGCUCUCACUGGAAAUUUACCUUUGGCUUUGGAAGUGUUCGGUUCGUUUUUGUUGGGCAAGAGGAACGUAACAGAAUGGGAAGAUGCUUUGAACAAGUUGAGAGAUGUUCGUCCACACGAGCUUCAAGAUGUGCUGAAGAUAAGCUUCGAUGCGCUAGACAGAGAAAAUCAACGCAUAUUCCUAGAUGUAGGCUGCUGUUUUCUCGAUUUGCAUACCAAGAGAGAGGACGUGGUUUCAAAGCUGAAAUAGGGUUAGGAGUUCUUGAGGAAAAAUCACUGAUUAAGUUCACUGAGGGCGAUGCUCUUUGGAUGCAUGAUCAACUUAGGGACAUGGGAAAAGAGAUGGGUUUUUUACAAAGAUUUUACAAUAAAAAAGUGGUGGAGUAAUGAUCUAAAGUUUUAAGGACCUGAUAUGUAAAAUUACCAUUUAAUUGUUUAGAAAGUGAAAUGGUGCUCCUGAUAGUGUGGCGGCGCUAAACUUGAAAAGUAGCUAAGUGACUUCUUAAUCCUCCUUAUUUAUUAUUUUUUUUUAUUUUCCUUCAACUCACUUUUUUAUUUAAUAAAUAAACCUUCAACUUAUUUUUGUAGUUAAAUAAGCUAUUAAUCUAUGAUUUUUACUCAUAAAAGUCUUUUAUUUUAUUUUUAAAGUAAAUAUAUUUUACUUAAAGUAAAACUAUUUAAAAAUGUAUAAACUAAUUCGCACUUUAUGUUUAUGUGAAUUUGAUGAGAAUAGUUUAUUAAAUAAAAAAAUUUAUGUUUAUCAAAGGCUUAUAGCUAUAAUAGUCCCUUAAGAAAAAACCAAAAAAAGUUACUAAGCCCCUUGACUUAAUUUGAACCUAGUUGAGCCCUUCUCAUUAACCUGAAAAAUUAAUUAAGCUCUUACAUUAAUAAUUUUCACAUUUCGUUACAUUAACCAUUAAAAUCAAUUGACGGACCAAUUAGAUGACGAAAUAUGAUAGCCUGUGAUUUAAUUUUUCAUAUCUCAAAAAAAAAUCAUAAAAAUAUCUAUCUAUAAUAUAUAUCAAAGCACGAGUCUUGAAAAAACUUUUGAACUGACAAAAAUAUCCUUUAUUGUUAAUUAUAUUACUAAACUACAUAAGAAUAAUAAUUUAUUAAUAUUAUUAUAUAAUAAUAAAAAGUAAGAUUAAUUAAAAUAAUAAUAUAUUAAUGUGAAAUUAAUUAAUUUGGUCAUAUAUUAUAAAGGCUCUACUUAAAAAAAACAUAAUAUAUUAUUAAUUAAUAAAACUAUAAAUCUAUAAAAUCAUUGAAUAUAAUUGGAUGAAUUUAAAAUAAUAAGAAUUCAAGUUUUUUAAUUAAAUAAAAAUAUUUUUAUAUAUAAAUACUAUUUAUAAAUUUAAAAAUAAUUAUAAUUUAAUAGAAGUUGUGAGAAUUAUAUAUUUCAAAAUAAUUAUAAUUUAAAAUACAAUUAUUAUUAAAAAUAUUGUGCUAAUUUUAAAAUAGAAUUGUUAUUUAAGUAGAACUCUAAGCAUAAAAUAUAGGAAAAAGACAAAAAAAAUUGUGAUAAUUAUAAUUAUAAUUUAUUGUUAUUAGUUAAAAAAUUUGACGAUCCUAUUUUUAUUAAAGUAAAGUAGAGUUAUUACUUAAUUAGAAUUCCAAGUAUCUUAAUAUCACUUAACUAAUAUUAGAUUUAAUUUAAAAAAUUAAUAGAAAUACUAGGCAUGCUUUAUUAAAAAACCAAAAGUAAUAAUAAAACUGAUCACCCAUAAAUGUAACCCAAAUAGAAAAAAUACAUUAUAAUUAUAAACUAUUCUCAUCAAAUUUAGUAAAUUUUUUUAUUUAAUAAACUAUUCUCAUCAAAUUCACAUAAACAUAAAAUACGAAUUAGUUUAUACUUUUUUAAAUAGCUUUACUUUAGGUAAAAUAUAUUUACUUUAAUAAUAAAAUAAAGGGUUUUAUGAGUAAAAAUCAUAGAUUAAGAGCUUAUUUAACUACAAAAAUAGGUUGAGGGCUUGUUUAUUAAAUAAAAAAGUGAGUUGAAGGGGAAUAAAAAUAAUAAUAAAUAAGGAGGGCUAAAAAGGCAAUUAGCCACUUUUCAAGUUUAGUGCCGCCACACUAUCAGGCGGCACCAUUUCACUUUCUAAACAACAAAAUGGUAAAUUUGUAUAAUAGUCCUUAAAACUUUAGAUCAGUACAUUUCAGUCCUGUGCCGCCUGUGGCAGGCCCUCCACCAGUUUGGUGCCGCCUGUGGCAGGCCCUCCACCACUUUUUUUGUAUUAUUUUGGUAAAUAAAAAAAUUAAUAUUAUUUUUGUAUUUUUUUAUUUUUUUGUAAUAUUUUUGUAAAAAACCAAAAAGAGAUUGCGCAAAAUGAAAACGACGAUCCUGAAAUGCGCAGCAGGCUCUGGGAUCGAAACCAAAUCAUGACUGUCCUGCAAAAUCACAAGCUAUAUUAUAUAUAAGAAUUGUCGUGCAUAUUUGAUACUGUUGAUACAUUACUUCGUUAUACUAUUGACAAUAGGGAACAAGAAGCAUUGAGGGUAUUGUAAUGGACAUGAAGAAAGUCUAGAAUGGGAAUCAGGUGGUAGUCCAUACAAAACCAUUUAAAUCAAUGGUUCAUCUAAGAUUGCUUCAGGUGAAUCAUGUGAAACAGGAAGGAAAGUUUAAAUUUGUUCCUCAUGAACUCAAGUGGCUUCAAUGGCAAGGAUGUGCAUUGAAAACUCUUCUUUCUGAUUUUUGUCCUCAAAAGCUUGCUGUCCUUGAUCUCUCAGAAAGCAAAAUCGAAAAGCUAUGGAGCUCUUACUCUAACAAUGUAAUGACAUAUCGUUUUAGAUAUACGCACUGUCUACUUUCUUCUGCUUGUAACUAGCUAGUUUGUGGAAAUAUAUAAGCAAUAUUUGUUUGUUUCAGGUUGCUGAAAACUUGAUGGUCAUAAACCUGCGUGGUUGCCCUCAUUUGGCUUCUCUUCCUGAUUUAUCAGGACACAAAAACCUGCAAAAGAUUGUUCUCGCGUAUUGUGUAAAACUGAUAAACAUUGACAAGUCAGUUGGUACUUUAAUUUCCUUGCACCACUUGCAUAUGACAGGCUGUUUUAACCUUGUUGAAUUUCCAAGUGAUGUCUCAGGGAUGAAAAACCUUCAAACCCUUGUCCUCACCGAUUGCUCCAAUUUGAAGGAAUUACCCGAGGACAUAGGCAGCAUGAGGUCCCUCAAAGAACUAUAUGUUAAUCGAACUGGCAUCGAGAAACUGCCAGAAUCUAUUUACCAUCUCGAGAAACUUGAAAAACUGAGCCUAAAUCGUUGCAUACAUAUCAAACAGUUGCCAAGAUGUGUAGGACAGCUAGCUUCUCUCAAGAAACUUCAUCUUGAUGGAUCUGGAUUACAAGAAUUGCCUGAUUCUGUUGCAUAUUUGGAGAACCUGGAGAAAUUAAGUUUAAUAUCUUGCGAAUCAUUGACUGCAAUUCCUGAUACUGUUGGCAAUCUCAACUUAUUGAAAGAGUUGUUCAUAAAGGGUAAAGCAAUCACAGAGUUGCCACAUUCUAUCUGUUCUUUAUCAUAUCUCAAGUGCUUGAAUGUUAGAGGCAUACAGAUGAGGAAAUUGCCAAACUCAAUUCGAGGACUGAUUUCUUCAGUGGAACUUGAUAUAGAAGGCCCAUCAAUUACGUGUCUCCCAAGUCAGAUUGGUCAUUUGAGAUUACUUGAGAAGCUUGUGAUAUUGAAUUGCACAUCACUUGAAUCUCUGCCAGAUUCAACUGGGAGCUUGUUUGCUCUCACUUUUAUCAACAUAUGCAACGCCAGUAUUACUGAGUUGCCAGAGUCUUUUGGGAUGUUGAAAAAUCUCAUCACGUUAAGAUUGGACGAGUGUAGAAAGCUUCAUAAACUUCCAUCCUCAAUGGGAAAUUUGAAGUCAUUGCAUCAUUUGUAGGUGAAGGAAACUGCUAUGACAGAAUUACCAGAAAGCUUUGGCAUGCUCACAUGUUUGAUGGUGUUGAACAUGAGAAAGGAUCCCAACAAGCAAGAGCAACCAAAUUCAUCAUUUGUAGCGUUGCCAGCAUCUUUCACGAAUCUCUUAUCGCUGCAAGAACUUGAUGCUCGGACCUGGAGAAUAUGUGGUGAAAUCCCAGAUGAUUUUGAGAAGCUAGCAGCAAUAGAGAUUCUAGAUUUGGGUAGCAAUGAUAUUUAUAAACUACCAUCAAGUCUAAAGGGACUGUCAUUUCUAAGAGAUCUCAAGCUGCCCAAAUGUGAAAAGCUUCAGUCCCUGCCUCCACUUCCCUCUAGUUUGGAGAAGUUGAAUCUUGCUAACUGUAUAUCAUUGACGACAUUAUCUGAUCUUUCCAAUAUAAAGGGCUUACAAGAAUUAAACCUUACAAACUGUGAGAAAUUGGUAGAUUUGCCAGGCCUUGAGUCCCUAACGUCCUUGAGAGAAUUGUAUAUGAGUAACUGUAGUACCUGCGCUUCAGCAGCAAAGAAAAGACUCUCCAAGGUUAGUUUUCUUUCUUUUAGAAAGUUUAUAUUUAAUGCACCUUCAGUUUAUAAAGCUUGGUAUAUUUAUAAUGACAAAACAUCUUUUUAUAAUCUUUCCAUGUAGUAUAUUUUAUCAUCUCACCGUAAUGUUUAGAUUCAAGUUUCAAGAUAAAAACACACUAAGUAAUAUUUUUCCAAUUUUGUGAAGAACUUAAAUAUGGUAUAAAUAGAUAUUAUAUAUAAUAUUUUUUAUUGAGUUUUUUCAAAUAAUAAUUAGCAAAUAAAUCACGUUUGGGAUGGAGCUUUUGAAUAUUGAUGCAACUAAUUUUAAAGGUUUAUCUCAAGAAUCUGAGAAAUCUAAGUAUGCCUGGAAGUAGAAUUCCAGAUUGGUUUACACAAGAUAUGGUUACCUUUUCAAGCCACAAAACCUGUGAUCUCACUGCGAUGAUUAUUGCAGUUGUUGUUUCCAUUAACCAUUAUAAUCCAGAUGAACUGAGAUACCAACUGCCUGCCGUGUCGGACAUUCAAGCACAGAUCUUCAAUGGCGUGGAGGCAAUAAUGACCACUGCAUUGAACUUAAUUGGGGUACCUAGAACCAACCAAGACAAUUGUAUUGUACUGUUUUGCUACGAUGAAAUUCCAGAGCUAAAAUGUGGUGAUUCUGGUGAUUUGCAUGCUAAAAGAAUGUUGAAAGAUUGUGUGUUUGAGCUUUAUUUUCAACAUGAAGAAAAGAGUAUUUUGAUAUGUUAAUGUUCGAUAGUUGAAAUCAACUCAAUUGUUUUACUAGAGUGAACUGAUUUAUCUAGAUGUGAUUUGAGUUGUAUGUAUUUAAGCAUGUGUAUUCACGAGUAUGAAGACGGGUAAUCGAAAUGAAAAAUCUAUAUUUCAAAAAAUAUGAUAUAGAGAAAUACUUAUUGAAAAAAGAUAUAUGAGAUUAAAUUGAUUAGUGAUUCUGGAAAGUUAGUGAAAGUGUUUCAUGAAAGUUGGAAGUAACUUCUUCUGGUAAGAUUUUCGAGGACGAAAAUCCCUAAAGUGGGGAGAGUUGUAGCAGCCCGAUUUUGGGUCUAGAUGGAACAAUGGUUUCGGAACCACAAAUCCGACGAGGAAAAAAUUUAUUUUAAAAUUAUGACAUGGGUUGCAUUAUGAUAGGAAGGUUGCAUGAAAAUACUGAUAUGAAAAUUUUAUCGAUUUAGUGAUUAAUUAGGGAAAUGACUUAUUUGUAUAAAAUGUAGAAUUUGAAUUCUAGAAGCUAGAAGGGUUAACUAGCUAUGAAAUUGUAAUACCCCGAAAAAUACUACAGUAAGAAAGUAAGAUAAUAUCCCUAAUAUGGUAAAAUAAGGAAAUAAAGUGAUAAAAAGGGUAAUUGAGUUAUGUCAAUAUUGGAAAGUAUAUUAUGACAUAUUAAUUCAAGAAAGGAUUAAAUUGCAAAAGUGAGAAAAGUUUUGUUACCCAAGGGUAAAUACUCAAAAUUUGAGGGGUUAAAGUGUAAAUAUGAAAAAGUUGAAGGACCAAUAGUGUAAAUAUUUUAAGGGUGGAAUAAUCUAGAAACUAAGAAAGAUGGAUGAAUUGGGACCAAAUUGAAUAGAUGAAGGAAUUAUGAGGGACUAAAUUGUAAUUUUACCAAAUUAAGUGAUGACUUAAGGAUGAAAUUUUAAAAGAUCUAAAGGGCAAAAUGGUCAAUUAGAAGAAAGAGAAAUCUAGAAAAUAAUGAUGAUGUUGGAGAUAUUUUAGAUUAAAUAAAUAAAUAUUAGUUUAUUAAUAUUUUAAUUUGAUUUUUAAAUGAUAUUUUAUUAUUUUAUUAUUAUUUUAUUUAGUGUAUAUAUGUGGAAGAAAAGAUGAAGAAUCAUCUUCUUCUUCCCCAUGCAACUAACGUAUGAAGAGAAAAGAAAGAGAGAAAAUUUUUUUUCUUUACAAUUUGGUCCUUUUACUAAAAAUUCAUCAUUUUCACUUAGAAAUCAAAAGAAUUUCCAUAUCCAUCAAGAGAGAAAGAUAACAAGGAGACUAUGGGGAGCUAGAACAUCAAGUUAGAUUCAAGAAAUAGAAGUUGGAGGAGGGAGAAAAUCAAGUUAAAGAUUGAAAUCAAUAGCACAAGGUAAGAACAUCAAGAUUUUUAUAUACUUUUGAGUUUGAUAUUAUUGAAAAAGUAGGAAAUUAAUGUUAAGGUAAAGUUUUAUUAUAUAAGGUUUUAUAUUCUUGUUAUGUUAGUAAAGGGAAAUAAGAGAAAGUGAUGGAAAAUAUUGAAGAGAAAGGAAAGGAAAGUGUUAUAAAUUUAGUUAUCAACAUUUUACACUAAAAUAGUUUUGAGACAGCAGCAGUAGUCUGACUUUGAAAAUCUACCAAAAAUCGUAUAAAUUGAAUUAGAGGAUGAAAAAAAUAUGAAAUUAAAUUUUAUUGAGUCUAGUUUCUCAUAGAAUAAACGGUGUAAGUAGUGGAAUUGUAAAUUAUGAGAUAUACUAGGUUUUGUAAGAUAAGGUCAGAAUGAUUUCGGGUUCCCCUGUACUGAAUUUGGAAAAUAAUCAAAAAUUGGAGAAAAUUAAUUAGAAGGUUAAAUUUAUAUUUUUAAAUCCUUAAUGAGUAUAUUUUCAAUAGAAACAAACGGUAACAUCAUUCGAAUUUUUUAGAAAGAGAUAAUUAAUUUUUAGUGAAGAGGGGUCAACGCUGUCGAGCAGUGAAACAGUGGAAAAUUUAAAGAAUAAACUGUACUAUUUGGCUGAACCAAAAAUUAUGAAAAUUUUAUGAUAAUAAUAUAUGUGAGUCUAGUUUUAGGGAAAAUUAACGGACCUUAAUUUUGAGCUCUUUAUCUCCGGAUAAAAAUAAUUUAGUGACUCUGACUCGGGUAAACAACUUUGAAUAUACAUGUGAGUGAAUAGUGAAAUUAUAAUUAAGGUUGUUUAAGUGUGUUAUACACAUUAAGGAUGUGGAAUGGAGUGGAGGAGGAGGAAAAAAAUAUAUGUGAAUAUUUAGAUAAUAUGAGUUUAUUUUAAAAGAGUUAAUUUACAUGUUUAGGUUUAGGGACUAAAUUGAAUAAAAGUAAUAUUUUAAGGGUAAAUUUGUAAAAAUGUCAAAAAGUGACCAAAUUAAAUGAAAUAUUAAUUUAGAUCAAGAUUGGGUGGAAAUUCGAGAAAAUAGAAAAUUACCAAAAUGUCCCUAAAUUUUGGUAUUUCUGCAAUUUAGCUUGGUAAGUUUGUAUGAACUAUAUUCUGUAUAAUUUUAUUUAAAGUGAACGUUAUUUGGUGAUGAAUAUUAUAUAGAUAUGUGUUUUAUUAUCGGAAUUGAAUUGUUAUUGGUAAUAUGUACAAUUAUUAGAUGCAUUGAAAUGAUUAUCGGAAGCUCGAUUGUGGUUGGCAGGAAAUGUUGCAUUAUUUAUAUUGUGAAGAAUUAUAAAAGCAUGUUAAUAAUUUGAAAGUUUUAAUAAUUAAUGGAAUUUUAUAACUCGGUUCAAUACGUUUACAAGUGUAUGUGUUCUGGUAAUGCCUCAUACCCUAUUCCGGUGUCGAAUAUGGGUAAAGGGUGUGACAACAAUGUUCACUUGUGUCGAUAUCCCGCAUAUCGUCCCUUGGUUUCCAUGUUGAAGGAUGGUUUUAAGAUUAAAGUGACCAGGCAAAACGCGCCCUACGUAAAGGGCGUAGAGCUGAAGAAAGCUGGGAUUUUUCUAGUUUAUGAAAAAGAUGAUGAUUAUGGUGGCGAUGAAGAUUCACUUGAUGAGAACCAGCAGUCUGUAUCAGAAAAAUUAGCCAAGUUUUUCAGCUCUCUUGAAGAAAAUGAUGGAAUUGAUCACCAAUCCAACUGCAGCCAUGAAUAAAAGAAGCGCUUCAACUCCAAAGUAAGAAACAAAAAUGUCGCCCAAUCAAAUCGUGCUGCAGUUGGUGCGGGAGGUUAAGCGUAAAAUCAUGAGAGAUUUCAAGGCGUGUAUGCCUGUUUCUAUUAUUUCACUUCACUCAAGUUGAACGCAGUAUACAUUCUUAGGAUCCAUUUGGAUGGAUAAUGAAAUAGAUUUUAGUGAGUCUAAAGACGAGGGUGACAAUAAAAUUAGUAAGACUGGUGAUUGAGAUUAAAAUUAAUGGUGAGAUAAAUGUAAUUUGGAUGUAAAUAACCAAAAAUAGUGAUAAUAGUUAAGGGAGUUGUAGUAAAAAGGUUAAAUGAUUAGUAAAUAUAUAUUUUUAGAAAUUUACCAGGUGACCGUGUCGAAUCCCAUGAAGAUUCGAUAAAUUAGAUUCGAUAUAUUCAAUAACCCAUAUGGUUAUGGGCAUAUUCAAGUCACUUUAAUCCUAUAACAUAACCUAAUUGUUUUUUCAUUCGAACUAUGUUAAUUUGUUCUUGUGAUUAGAAUAAAAGGACAAUUACGAAUCAAUCUAUCUUUAUUAACUAUGUAUUAAUUUAAAUAUUUUACCCCCUAAGCUGAUUAAUUUCCUAGCUAUUCAUAACAAAAGAUUGACUAAGGAAAUAAUAAAGGCUUUAUUCACAAUUUAACCCUUGAGCUAUACUUGUUUUCCCACAUUGAUACUUAAAUAUUUUUUAUAUCAAUUUGAUAUUUGAGUUUUGCAUCAUACUUGUUUUGAUACUUAAAAGUUAAUAAUAUAAAAAAAAUGUCAAUUAAAAUAUGUCACAUCAUUGAUGACAUGGCACAUUGAUCAAGCUGACUUGGUAUUGACCAAUAUUGACCCUGUAUUGACCCACGUUGGUCUAUGUUGACCGAGCAUUGACCAAUCUUUGACCCUCUUUGACUUAGGUUGAAAAGCAAUUGAUGGGUAAAAAAUCAUUGAAAAGUAUAAAAGAAAUAUUUAAAAUGAAAAUAGCUUAUAUAAAAUUAUUUAAAAAUAUUAUAUUAUUACUAUUUUGUUGUUAUUUUCUUGAUAUUGUAUAACUCCUAUUUUAUUAUUAAUUUUACUACUAUUUCAAAAGUAUUUACUUGCUAAGUUGCAUCUAUUUUAGUGUUAUUUAAGUUUUUUUUUAAUAUUCUCUAUUUAUUGGAAAACAUUUAUUUUAAUGGUUAGAAGUAAGUCAAUGAAGAUUGUAUCAAUUUUAGGAUUAAAUUAUAAUAUUAUCAUACACUAACUUAUUUAUUUUAUAAAAUUUAUAGCACCAAACAUGCUAUUUUUCAUGGAUGGAGAAAAGUGAGAUAUGGAAAGACAGUUGCAAAAUUUCUGGGAAGAUAUCCUUUUUUAAAAAUAUAUUAAUUGAUAAUGAAAUAAAAAAUAUUUGGAUAAAUUAUCUAGCUGGUGAUCCAAUUCUUUGGACGUUUUUAUUUUAAUCACUCAAAUUAAAAAAAGCUUAUAAUUUAAUCACUACCCAUUAAAAUUUUUCGACAAACUUUUCCACCAAUCAAAAUUCUCCUUCAUUCUUCUUUUUCUUUUUUGGUCAUAUUUCUUUCUCCUCCUCUUUCCCUAACCCAACUUUGUUCCCUUCCCAUGCCCCUGUUUCCAACACCCGACUCGGCCAUAUCACCCCACAUCAAUUCCUGAUAACUAGAGACGUCUUCCCCUGCUCUAGAACUACCCUCUAUUGUGUUAUAUACAUCUCAUCAUUGCUUGAAUUAUCUCCUUAAGGUUGUGCUGGUGGAGGCUGCAUUUCCAUUUUUUGUCCUUGUUCUUGCUUUGAACUUGAUGGACGUCGAAGCCACCAAAAAUAAUUCUUACAAUUAAAAUAACUCUAAAUAGUAGUAAAGAGUGGUAGUAGGGUCGAGCCCACAAGGAUUGGUAUUAUAAUCAACUUUUGCGUUUAACUUAUGAUCAGAAUUUCUGUCGUGUCGAUAACCGUGGCAAUAGUCGUUUGUGCCUACGACUCCAACUGAACCUGCUGAAAAAUAAACAAAUAAAUCACGAGAGUUUUAAAAUAUUUAGAAAUUAAAUAAUUGAAAUAGCAUAAAUAAACAAUUAAAUAAAUUUGAAAUAAAAUUAAAUUGGGAAUUAAAUUCGGAUUUUGUAAACAGAGAUAAUAAGCUUUAGCCCUAGACUCGGUGGAUUCCGAAUUUUGAAUCGAUCCUUAAAAAUUAAUUUUCUUCUCCAAAUAAUAAGCUGGUUAUAGCAGUUAAGAACGUCAUAACCGCCAAUUCUUUCUCUCGUAGUUGAUCCCGGCACGACCUACAAACCAACCAUUACCGAUUAUCUAACCGAGAUACACGCAUUUUCAAUUCAAGAUUCUGGCAGCCUUACGUUCUGAAGAACCUAACUCAGAUUAACGGCAUCAAUCGCACGAGUAGCUUAAACCCGAUCAUUUCUCCCUUGAUUUGUUCUCGGUGAUCCGAAUACAGCAUAGCUGACUCGUUUCCCUAACUAUCCACAAACAUGACUGCAACCCAUUGCCCUUUUUUAUUUGAAAUCGAGUUAACUUUAAAGGAUAAAUUUGUCAAUCUCGAUACUUAGGAAAAUAGUGAAUAUCGAUUGAAAAGAUUUUUAGUAUGGAUACGUAUCUCACGAUUCCCGACCGGAAAGAAUGCCAACCUAAAGCUAAAUUACAAUUUAGUGAGGCAUAGAUUUAAUUAUGCUUUGGUUGGCUAUGGAGUGGAUUUAAAUGAAAAUCGCGGAAAUUGAAAAAGGAAGGGACUUGGAAAGCAAUUAAACAAAUUUUGCAAAAAACAAUUAAAUGGAAAUGAAAGUAGCACUAGCCACUGACUCAUGAAUUUGGAAGGAAAAUAAUAAUUCUUAUUUAAUUCCAAGUGAAAUCUAAUGUCUUUUCAAGCUACCACUUUUAUAUAUAUAUAUAUAUAUAUAUAUAUAUAUAUAUAUAUAUAAUUUACUAAAUUUGACCUAACUAUCCACUACAUAUAAUUAAAAUUAAAUAAAAAUAAAAUCAGAUUUUCUUCUUAUAUUAGCUUUCAAUAAGUCGAAAGAAAUCUAAUAAGUCUUUCAUUAUUUUCAAGUUUUUGAUUUAGUCCCACUUUAUUGACUGUGCUGCAAAUUGGUCCUUUUUUUGCCCCUUAUUUUGACUCAUAGCAUUCAAUUACAUUUCUGCCAAGAUUAAAAUAUAAAAUUACUAAUUUAGCAGGGAUCAAUUCAAGACUUAACUGAUUUAAUCACAAAAAAUAAUACAAAUUUAACAUGUUAUAAGAACUUUCAUGGGAAAACAACCUCAUUAUAUUAUCCAGUUAAAACCCAAAAUAUUGGUGCCAUCAUUAAGAACAAGAAGUUAUUGUACAACACAAAACCCCAAGUGCUCAACCCAAGGUUCAUCAACAUAUGCUUAAUGUAAACCGUUUCAGUAGCGAUGAUAGUGAAACACGCAAAAACCCAUAAUAUGCAAUAAAAGUAAAAGCGGAAUCACUAGCUACAUACUCAUCAUUUAGUAAAUUUGAUUGUAAAUCAGGAUUCUGGCAAAUCAUGCUAACUGAUGAAUCAAAACCUUUGACAGCCUUUAGUGUUCCUAAUGGUCAUUAUCAAUGGAAGGUAAUGCCAUUCGGUCUAUGUAAUGCCCCACAAGUUUUUCAAAGAUGGAUGGAUUCUAUUUUUAAUAAGUAUAAAAAAAUUUGUGUGGUAUAUAUAGAUGAUAUCUUAGUCUUUUCAAAAACACUUGAAGAGCAUAGAAAACAUCUAAAUGUUAUUUCUCAAGAAUUCCUAAAACAUGGAAUUAUAUUAAGCCCUAAAAAGAUAGAGCUUAAGAAAACAGAAAUUGAAUUUUUAGGAUGAAAAUUAUCAGCUCAUGGUCUUCAACUCCAAGAUCAUAUUAUUGUAAAAAUAAAAGAAUUUCCUGAAAAAAUAGAAGAUAAAAAACAUCUUUCACAAUUUUUAAGAAUAGUUAAUUAUGGAUGAACCUUUUUUCCAAAAUUAGCUGAAAAAAUAGGAGGAUUAUAUGAUAAAUUAAAAAAGAAUAUUUGUUUUUGUUGGACUAAACAAGAUGAAGAAAUUGUAAAAAAAUAUAAAAACAGAAAUUACUUAUAAUCCAAAGGUUUAUUUACCUAAAAAAGGAGAUAAACUAAUUUUAGAAACUGAUGCAUCACAAUAUUAUUGGGGAUGUAUUCUGAAAGCUAAAACAGCUAAUAAUGAAGAACUUAUAUGCGGAUAUAGUUCAGGAAAAUUUAAGCCUAAUGAGGUUAAUUAUAUUAUUUAUGAAAAAGAAUUAUUAGCAAUUAAAAAAGGAAUAAAAACUUUCCUUAUUUAUUUAGCACCUGAAAAGUUCAUUAUAAGAACUGAUAAUCAGGCAGUCAAACAGUUUUUAACUAACAAUAGUUUAAAAACUGUUCCUAGAAGAAUUAGGUGGUAUAAUGAUUUAUGUACUUUUAAUUUUGAAGUUUUUUAUAUUAAAAGUGAUGAAAAUCUACUUGCUGAUUUCUUGAGCAGGCCUCAUGGAUAGAGGUAAACAACCUCUAAUAGUUGGUGAAUGGACAACCGUUCACAAAAAGCCCAACAAAGGGAAAGCAGAAUCAAACUCCAAAAAAGGAUUUGUACCUGCACAAAAACCAUUUUAUCCUAACCAAGGAUAUUAUGUGUCUUAUCCAAUGGUAAACCAACCACUUGGAACAAAUAUUUUAAAUUACCCUAUGAUAAAUCAACCAAUGGGAAAUACAUUUUUAUUGACCCCAAACACGGCGAGUCAAUUAAAUUGGUCCCAAAAUCUGAAUUCAGUAUCACAAACAAGUUAUGCUGAAGUCAUUAAUGGAGCUGAAAAUUUGUUGAAUCAACAACAAAUUCAAGAUUUAAAAGAUCUUUCAAAAAUUAAAGAUUUUUAUAAUCCUGGUUUAUCACCAGAAUUUUAUGAUUUAUAAAUAAGAUAUGGAAAACCCAUAUUUCAAACCAAAGAGCCAAUUUCCGAAGAGCUCUUACCAGAUUUUCAUCUUUCUUAGUUGAAAAAACAACUAAAGAAAAUGAAGCUGAAGAUUUAUUAUUAAAAUCUAUUUUAUAUAGAGAAUGGGAUGAAUUCCAAAUGGAAUUUAUGGAAAAAGAGGAGAUAAACAAUCUUCUUGAUAUUUUUCAAUAUCUUAUUUAUAAAGGGAAAAAUACCCCUAUUAUAAAUAAAAUAUUUAGAAUUUGUUUAUAUAAUAAAUCUAGACAAAUUUUACCAGUAGAAAUAUUCAACAAAAUUAAUGAAACUAUCUGUAACCAGCAGAUAAUUCAAUUUCAAAAAUCAUUUUCUGAACAUUUUCUACAAUCUUAUGUUUUUACAAAUUUUAUAAGCAAAGAAUAUCCAGCUAUAAAAUUUAGACUGGACCAUGAACCGUUUGAUAUAACAAGUAUCGAAUGGGGUUUUGUUAGAGAAAUAGUAGUACAAAAUUUUUCUUUUCAUCUUUUAAAAGAUUUUCCAGCUGUAGUAAAAUCUUUAUUACAAACCAUCGUAAAAAACGAUGACUUUUUCUAUUAUUUCUAUAUUCAAAUAAGUACUCUUAUUGGUAUUUCUGAAAAAGAAAAAUUUUUUCAGCCAUAUCAAAUAUGGAAAAUCCACAGAAUGCUCGGAAGCCCCCGACUAUCUGCUGUAGAUGAAGACAAAGAUUACUUGGCAAAAACAAUUGACAAGUGUCAAGAUAAUUUAAGCUAUUAUCAAAUCCAAGCCGGUCUUGAUUUAAUGGCUAAAGCUAAAUAUCUUCUUCAAGAAAGAAAUUAUCAAUUUAGAACUGAUGAAAGAAGAAUAUUAGCAUAUAAUUCAUAUCUCAUUGAAGAAAAUGAUGACGGCAUCAAUCUGCUAAAAAAGAUAGCAGCCAUGGACAUUGAAGAUUUUCCAUCUAACAUUCUGCAACAAAUCAGAAGUGCAUGGGAAAAUUGUCAUCAAGACAUAUCUACUAUCCAUCAUUUUGACGGAUAAAUAAAAAGUUAUGCUGAAGUCAAUUACAAUGGUCAAAACAUUAUGUUGAUUUAAAGAUAAAACUUGUGAUCAUAUUACGCAUAUAGACUCUAGAAAUGAAAACAACAUUUCAUCUCUGAGUAAGGGUAUUAAUAGUCUUGUUGAUAUAACUUCUUUUUAUUUUGGUAGGUUAUUUAGUAAAGUAAAUUCUGUAGAAGAAAAAAUAAAUAACUUAGGUAAUAUAAAAGAGUUAGAUUUAAAUAAUGAGUCUAAAGAAAUAUUAACUAGUGUUAAUAAUAAACUAGAUCAAGUUUUUAAUAGUAAUAUCGAGUCCGAUGUAAAUUUAGGUCCUUUAUAUUACGGUAAUGGUAAAGAUCAUAUUUUUGUUUUAUCUGAUGAAGAAAACACUUCAUCUGAUGAGUCGUCAUCUAUGUUAAAAAAUUAUAAAAAACAUAAAAAACGUAAAAAAGAUGAAAAACAAAAAGAAUAUGAUUUCCAAUCCUAUAAAACCCUUAUAGAACAUUGGAAAGAAAAAUUUACUAAUAGUAAUGAUCAACUUGAAAGAGUUGAAUAUUUAAAAUUAAUAGAAGAACUUUAUGAAAAACAUAAAGAUCUUUUCAGUAUGUUUAAUUAUCAUUAUAUGUUAAAAUAUGAUGAUAGUAGUAGUUCAAGUAAUUCUGAAAAAAACAGAAUUAUUAAAGAGACAAUCUGAAGAAGAAAAAACUUCAAUAGAUCAGGAUGAAGACAUAAAAGUCUCAACAUAUAAUUCUGAUGAAGAAACCACUUCAUCUGAAGAUGAAAAUAUUGAUGUUCCAGAACCCAUGGAUACUGAACCAACAGAUCCAUAUAGAAAAAGAAAAAUAGAAUUGGAUAGUCAAACAAAUGAUUAUCUGAUUAAAAAUUUAAAUAAAGAUCAAUAUACAACCAGUAUGUUGACUAGUAAUAUAAAAAAUUUAACCAUAAAGAUUAUAUUAGUAAAAGUUCACUAGGAUGGUUAGGUGUAAAACCAAAUACUCAUCAUAGGCAUAAAAAGAAAAUAUAAUAAACAAAUCAAAAGGAAACUAGAAAAUAAAAAAUUUUCUGGUCAUAUUACGAAUCAGUUUUCUAGAAGAACUUCUAAAGAACUUAAAGAUAUUUUAAAUAACAAGAUAAGUUAUAUGGUCAAAAACUUUUCUAACAAAAGAAAAGAAGUUGAAAAAAGAAUUAAAAGUCUUGAAAAACAAGACCUACAAAUAAGUCAUAAAAAGGAAAUAAAUCCUUAUAAAAUUAAAUCUGAUAAAAAUGAAAAAAUAUUUUUAUUAGAAAAUUCCAUAAAUAUUAAAAAAGUACAGACUAUUAUUCAACAAAUGAAAAUUGGGAAAAAUGAUAUUAUCACUCUUUCAAAUUUUCAACCUAAAAAGUAUUAUACAUAUAUUGAAAUUAACUUUCAAUUUAGAGAUUAUAAAAAAUAUUCUUUACAUGCUUUAUUAGAUACUGGAGCUACAACUAGUAGUUGCAGAAAAAAUGCAAUCCCUAUAGAAAAAUGGGAACCUAUGAAUAAUCCUAUAAGAGCAAUUGGUAUGGAUGGUAAAUAAACCAUAAUCCAAUAUAAAGCUAGAAAUAUACCAAUCUACAUAAACAAUGUUAGAUUUGUAAUUCCUAAGAUUUUAUGUUUUCCUGAAAUGCAUGGAGACAUAUUAUUAGGUAAUAAUUUUAUAUAUCAACACUUAUCUUUUUCUAUAGAUAGAAAUUUUGUUAUUUUAUCUGUGGAAAAUUUCUCAGUAGAAAUACCACUUGUAGAAAACCAUAAAUUUGUGUGUGAUCAGAAUUUUAUUCCAACAAGGAAAGAGCAAAUUAAACAACUAGAAACAAAUCAUUGGUUGUUUAAAAUUCUUGAAAAUAAUUUUAGUGAAGAACCAUUAAAAUUAUGGAAGAACAGUCCAAGAUACUGUGAAAUAAAAUUAAUUAAUCCUAAUAAAAUUAUUAGGGUUAAACCUAUAAUCUAAACUAAACAAGAUAUAGAUGAAUUUGAUGUUCAAAUAAAUGAACUUCUAGAAAAAGGAUUAAUAGAAAAAACUAGUAGUCCUCAUUCCAGUCCUCAUUCCAGUCCAGCUUUUAUGGUAAGAAAUCAUGCUGAAAUUAAAAGAGGAAAAGCUAGAAUGGUCAUUAAUUAUAAGAGAUUAAAUCAGAAUACUAUUUUUGAUGGAUAUUUUAUUCCACGAAAAGAAGUAUUAAUUAAUCAGGCUAAACAUGCUAAAUACUUUAGUAAAUUUGAUUGUAAAUCAGGAUUCUGGCAAAUCAUGCUAACUGAUGAAUCAAAACCUUUGACAGCCUUUAGUGUUCCUAAUGGUCAUUAUCAAUGGAAGGUAAUGCCAUUCGGUCUAUGUAAUGCCCCACAAGUUUUUCAAAGAUGGAUGGAUUCUAUUUUUAAUAAGUAUAAAAAAAUUUGUGUGGUAUAUAUAGAUGAUAUCUUAGUCUUUUCAAAAACACUUGAAGAGCAUAGAAAACAUCUNNNNNNNNNNNNNNNNNNNNNNNNNNNNNNNNNNNNNNNNNNNNNNNNNNNNNNNNNNNNNNNNNNNNNNNNNNNNNNNNNNNNNNNNNNNNNNNNNNNNNNNNNNNNNNNNNNNNNNNNNNNNNNNNNNNNNNNNNNNNNNNNNNNNNNNNNNNNNNNNNNNNNNNNNNNNNNNNNNNNNNNNNNNNNNNNNNNNNNNNNNNNNNNNNNNNNNNNNNNNNNNNNNNNNNNNNNNNNNNNNNNNNNNNNNNNNNNNNNNNNNNNNNNNNNNNNNNNNNNNNNNNNNNNNNNNNNNNNNNNNNNNNNNNNNNNNNNNNNNNNNNNNNNNNNNNNNNNNNNNNNNNNNNNNNNNNNNNNNNNNNNNNNNNNNNNNNNNNNNNNNNNNNNNNGAAACUGAUGCAUCACAAUAUUAUUGGGGAUGUUAUUCUGAAAGCUAAAACAGCUAAUAAUGAAGAACUUAUAUGCGGAUAUAGUUCAGGAAAAUUUAAGCCUAAUGAGGUUAAUUAUAUUAUUUAUGAAAAAGAAUUAUUAGCAAUUAAAAAAGGAAUAAAAACUUUCCUUAUUUAUUUAGCACCUGAAAAGUUCAUUAUAAGAACUGAUAAUCAGGCAGUCAAACAGUUUUUAACUAACAAUAGUUUAGAAACUGUUCCUAGAAGAAUUAGGUGGUAUAAUGAUUUAUGUACUUUUAAUUUUGAAGUUUUUUAUAUUAAAAGUGAUGAAAAUCUACUUGCUGAUUUCUUGAGCAGGCCUCAUGGAUAGAGGUAAACAACCUCUAAUAGUUGGUGAAUGGACAACCGUUCACAAAAAGCCCAACAAAGGGAAAGCAGAAUCAAACUCCAAAAAAGGAUUUGUACCUGCACAAAAACCAUUUUAUCCUAACCAAGGAUAUUAUGUGUCUUAUCCAAUGGUAAACCAACCAUUUGGAUCAAAUGCUUUAAAUUACCCUAUGGUAAACCAACCAAUGGGAAAUACUUUUUCAUUGACCCCAAACACGGUGAGUCAAUUACAAUGGUCCCAAAGUCUGAAUUCAGUAUCACAAACAAGUUAUGCUGAAGUCAUUAAGGGAGCUGAAAAUUUGUUGAAUCAACAACAAAUUCAAGAAUUAAAAGAUCUUUCAAAAAUUAAAGAUUUUUAUAACCCUGGUUUAUCACCAGAAUUUUAUUAUUUUAUAAAUGAAAUAUGGAAAACCCAUAUUUCAAACCAAAGAGCCAAUUUCCGAAGAGCUCUUACCAGAUUUUCAUCUUUCUUAGUUGAAAAAACAACUAAAGAAAAUGAAGCUGAAAAUUUAUUAUUAAAAUCUUUUUUAUAUAGAGAAUGGGAUGAAUUCCAAAUGGAAUUUAUGGAAAAAGAGGAGAUAAACAAUCUUCUUGAUAUUUUUCAAUAUCUUAUUUAUAAAGGGAAAAAUACCCCUAUUAUAAAUAAAAUAUUUAGAAUUUGUUUAUAUAAUAAAUCUAGACAAAUUUUACCAGUAGAAAUAUUCAACAAAAUUAAUGAAACUAUCUGUAACCAGCAGAUAAUUCAAUUUCAAAAAUCAUUUUCUGAACAUUUUCUUAAUUUAUAUUUUUUACGUUUUUUAUAAGUAUUGGGAUAUAUUUGUUUACACCCAAACUCUCAUUCGUUUUCUAAAAUUUUAGAACAAUAUUUAUGACUUAACUUAUUUUUGACUUGUUUAGCCGCUUUACUUUGCAAACAAUGUAAAGUUAUUCUUUCUUUUGCAAAGUUAAUUCUAUUACCUAUAGUAUCUAUAUUAUCUUUCGAAAGCCCUGAAUUUCUACAGUGCUUAUCUAAGUAAGAUACGUAUUUGUUUAUACAUAUCUCAUCCCAAGGUGGGGGUAACUUAUGGAAGUAUUGGUUUUUCCAAAACUCUAUAUUUUCAUUUUUUAAUUUUUGAUAUUCAUAAAGGAAUUUUUUAGAAAAUUCUUCUAAAUAUCUAAUAUCACAUAAUUUUAUUUUUGAAAGUAUGUAACUAGCUACACUAUCUUGAUCUUUUUUAUCACAAUAACCACAAAAUUCUGUUUUUAGAAUAGAGGUUAAUCCUUUUAAAAGGUCUUUAGGAGAUCCUAUUUGGUUUAAUAAAAGCUCCUUUUGUUCUUUUCCUUUCUCAGACUCUUCCAAUCGUCUAAGAAAUUGAAGAACAACACCUUGAAAAGUUCCAACAAAAUAGUUUAAAAACUUUUCUUUUAACCAAUUGUUGUUGUUUACAACAAUAGUCAUUGAUUGUGCCCAAUCAUCUAUAACUUUCUCAUAGUCUGAUAUAGGAGUAUUAGUUAAAUCUAAAUAUAUUCUUCCUUGAGCAACAUUUCUUUUAUUUAGAUCAUCUAUUCUUGGUUGAACAGGUUGAUUUGAAGUUUCUCCUGGAUAUUUAGUUGUGCAGAAUCUCUCUUUUCAUCUUUUAAAAGAUUUUCCAGCCAUUGUAAAGUCUGUCUUACAAAACAUCAUAAACAAUGAUGAUUUUUAUUACUAUAUCCAUAUUGAAAUUAGUAGUCUAAUUGGUAUAGCUGAACAAGAAAAAUUUUAUCAGCCAUAUCAAAUUUGGAUAAUUAAAAAGAUGGUUGGAACACCCUAAUUAUCUGCUGUAAAUAAAGAUAAAGAACAUUUGUCAAAAACAAUUGAUAAAUGUUAUACUAAAUUUGAAAAUUAUCAAGUCCAAACAGGAUUAGAUUUAUUAUCACAAGCCCAUUAUCUUCUCCAUGAUGAAAUCUAUAAACUAUGGACGGAUGGCAGAAGAAUAUCCUAAAGGUUGUAUAAGCCAAGGCAACCAAAAGGGGUGUCAAUGAUCUAAACACUAUGAAAGUCUCCACAAUGGCAUGGUUCAUGACGUAAAAAUCCAAACUUGCCCAAAACCCACCCUAAAGCAAAAGUUAAGUAAUGUAAUGCAGUCAAUAAACCUGGGUAAUUGAAUUUGGUAAUUGCAACUUUGUUUAUAACAGUGCGUAAGCUUGAACAAAAUGCAUAACCAAUUACAAAACUGCUUGUAGCAUUGAAGUUUUUUAGUGGAUUCAAAUCUAAUGGUUGACAUUUUGGUAACCCAGAAAGAUUAUAAAUUUGUUCUCAAAAAAUAACUAACACCCAAAGUUAAAAACAACAGGUUUUAAACGAAAUUGACAAUGGCAGAUGCAUUAAUGGGAAUUAUAACAGGAUGUGGGUAGUAGAGAAUGUUAUAUGAUUUGACAAGAAAAAUCAACGAAUAAACAAAUUUAAAAGUAUAAUGGUGAAAUUAAAAGAGAAAUACAAAGGAAACAGAGAUCGAAAUGAAUGGUUGUGGGAAGAGCUGAAACGAGGUUUUAUGGAGAGAUGAAAGGUAUGGGGUUGGCCACUAUAAGCAAAAUCAGCGUGUUUCAGAGGUUGUUUCCCCACGUCCCACGACUCUGGUUAGGGAAGGAUGAUGAAAUAUGACCAUGAAAAAAGUGAAAGGGAAUUUUGAUUGGUUGAAAAGUUUGACUUGGUCAAAGAAGUAUUUUAUAGUGGAUUUGGUGUGCCAAGUCAGAAGUCCAUUAUGGGGUUAAUGGUUGGUCGCUAAAAUAAAAAAUUUUCUAAGGCAGUGACUAAAAUACAAAUCUUUUAAUUUGAGGGAUAAAACUAGAUAGUUUACCCAAAAUAUUUUUAGAUGACACUGAAACGUGUUCCUCACAUUUAGCCCCGUAUUCCGAGUGUCAGUGUCACCAGUAAAGGGAGCGAAUGUAAUACUUUUCUUCUCAUGGCUGCUUCAAAUGAAUCUGACCACCUUCUUUUUGCACGCACCGACAUAGGUAAUUAAUGCUAAUUAAGUGGGAUCGAAAAGGUAAAGAGGAGAGAGAGAAGAAAUAAAAUGGAGAGCUCCGGUGUAGUGUCAACCACAACUCCGACGUCUUUCAGGCUCCGAUGGGACGUGUUCCUCAGUUUCAGAGGCGAAGAUACUCGUCACGGUAUCACCAACACCCUGUAUUGCUCGCUUGUGGGAGAAGGCUUGCGAGUCUUUCGAGAUGAUGACGCUUUGAGACGUGGAGACGAGAUCGCACCGAGUUUGGUGGAAGCCAUCGAAGACUCGGCUGCUUUCGUUGUCAUUCUCUCUGAAAAUUACGCUACCUCCCAUUGGUGCCUUGAAGAAUUGGCGAGGAUCUGCGAGUUGCAUAGCCGGAGCCGGAGACUGGUUCUGCCUGUGUUCUAUGGGGUUGACCCCUCUCAUGUUCGAAAACAGAGGGGACCUUUUAAGGAAGCCUUCUUUAGCCACGAAAACAGAUUCGGAGAAAAACAGGCCAACAGAUGGAGGGAAGCCAUGGCCAAAGUUGGCUCCCUUGUUGGUUUUGUUAAAAGGUAAGCUUUUCCCCUUUCUACUAAUUACCUCAAAUCUCUCGUGUUUCUGCAAUUAUUUUAAUUAAAUAUUUAAGUAGAUUAAUUUUAAGAAAUUAAAAAUCACACUACCAUGCGAGUGAGGAAAGAAUCUUAAUUUUAAAAAAAUUAAGAUAAAAUUAAUUUUUUAAAUAAUUUUAUUGAGAUUUAAGAAGUUUCAAAGAUGAAUUUAAAUUUAGUGUUAAUGAUUGUUUUAGGUUUUUAUUUAGUUAACAAUCUAUAUUUCAAAUUAAUUCGCUUAACUGCCUUUCAUACACACAAAUUGAUAGUGUUUGUUAUUUAAAUUUUAAAUUAAUUGCAAAUUUUAGCUUAUAAUUUAAAAAAAUAGAAAUUUGUGUUUAUUAUUAAGUAAUUUAUUGCAUGAUUAUAAAAAGAAUUUGGUUGGAUUCAGGCAUGGUAUUAACUAUUAAUAUCAUGUAUAGUUGCUUAAGUCUAACACUCAAAAAAAUUGAAAUGAUUGAAGUUUUUCAAUUUGGAAUUGUCUUAGGUCUAAUUUCUAUCACUUUGGCUGAAUUAUUCGUAACCGCAUAUUUACAAUACAAACAAGGUAAUCAGUUGGACCUUUGGUUAAUUAACUUACCUUAUUUUUUUUGACUGACCCUUUAAUUGUAUAAUUUUAAUUUAAUCCAAGGAGGUCAAAUUCGAAUUGUUGUUUAAUUUUUUUUUCAAUUUGGUGUAAUUUUCGACCUAACAAGAGCGACAUCACGCUCUGUAGGAUUUGAACCUAUGACAUUGGGUUUUGGUCCUGAACUAUGAACAUUAAAUUUUGUUCAAAACCAUUUAUAUUUAUAAACGACUAACUAAAUUCAUUUAAGCUUAUCUAUAUAUUUUUUUAUUAUAUAAAAUAUAAUUAUUUUUAUUUAAUAUUUAAUAAUUAUAUAUUUUUUUGUCAUCUUUUACUAUUAAUAUUUUUUUUCCUUUUAUUAAAUCUAAACAUAUACAAUUAAAAAUUUUUAACAUUUACAUUAUACUAUAAUAUAUUUAAUUUUUAUAUGAUAUAUAAAUUACUUAAUAUACUCAUGACCAGUGUUUACCCCUUUAAUAAGCCUACAAAAUGUGGGUGAUUUAUAACUGGACUCGCUUCAGUAGAUAUCUUAGAAAAUCAAAAGAAUAUUUCAUUUAAUACAUAAACUAAACUAAAAUAAAUAACAUAUCAUUAUCAUAAACUUGAAAAUGGUGAGUCAAGUUGAGUUAGACUCUAGCUUUGAAUAUUAGAGCUUGAGUUUGACCUAUAUUUUAAACUAAUUUAAUUUUUUUGCUUAAGCUCAUUUUCAAGUUUAAUAUUUUUGUCCCAACCCUUUUCAAUUUUCGAGUCCACCUUCAAGCUUAGGUAGGUAGCUUGACCUUCAAAUAGGUCUACUUAACGGUUUUAAAAGUUAUUAUCAAUGAUAAUUAUAUUUUACUUUUGUUUUGUUUUUACUUUCUAUUUCUUUUUAAAUUACUUUUUAAAACUUAAAUUUAAUUUAAUUAUAUAUUAACAUUGAAAUUAAUUUUUUAUUUUAGUUAAUUUCUUUUCCAUUAAAAUUUUCUAAAUAAAUAUAACUAAAUUAAAUUUACAUGAAAAUUUAAUAAAUUAAUAUAUAACUUAUUUAAAUAUAAAUUUAAAAUAUUUAAUUUUUAAAAUCAAAUAUAUCUUAAUGCCAUUAAUUUUUCAUUAUUUUAUAAUUAAAAAUAGACAGAAAAAAAUAGAACAAAACUAAAUAAUAAAAAGAAUAUAAUCAUUUUUUUUUAUUUUAAACUUAAAGAGGGAUAAGUGGGUGUUCUUUACACUAAAUUCAAGAGGAUAAGAGUGAGUUUGGAUGGGCGGUGCGUUUACUUGCGGUUAGUGUAAAAAUAACGGUGGCUAGGGGUGAGCAAAACUCGAUUCGACUCGAAAAAAUCGAAAAAAAUUCGAAUUUCGAGUUAAACGAAUCGAGUUAUUCGAGUUAAUCGAGUUAUUUGAAUCAACUCGAAUUUUUUUUCGAAUUUUGAGUUCGAAUCGAGUCGAGUUUUCGAAUUCGAAUAAUUCGAAUAUUAAACUAUAAUAUUUUAUAUUUUUACCCAAAACUCCCAAACCUUUUUAUUUUUCCCUCAAAACUUUUACUCAUUCCCACUUUUCCCCCAAAACUUUUACUCCCCUCCCCUUCCAACCCCCCAAUCUACCCAAAAUUCAUUUCCCACCAAAAUUUUACUCUCCCAUUUAUUUUUUCUCAAAAUUUUACUCCCAAAAAUUCUCAAAACCUUUUAUUUUCUCCCACAAUUUUUACUUCCUCCCACUUUUCUCCUAAAACUUUUAUUCCUUUCCCAUCCCACCUCCCAUCUACCCCAAACCCUCCCCCCUCCAAAUUUUUUUUAAUAUUUUUCCUCCAAAAUUUUACUCCCCCUAUUUACUUUUCCUCAAAUUUUUAUUCCCCAAAAUUUUUUAUUUUUCCCCCUAAACUUUUACUUCUCACCCUUUACUCUCAAAUAAAAAAUUAAAAUUAUCCAAAAAAAAUCACUAAACAUAAAUAGUAAUAAUUUUAUUUAUAUCUACUAUUUAUAUUAUUAAAUUAAAUUUUACAUUUUAUAUUAUUUAUAUUAUUGAAUUGUUUAGUUAUAUUGAAUAUUUAUAUUAAAAUUGAAUUAUUAAUUAUGCCAUAAAAUAUUCGUAUUAAAAUUUUAUAUUAGCAUCAAUUUCACAUUUUAUUUUUAAAAUAACUUUUAUUAAAAAAAUCAUAUUUUUACAUUUAAUAUAUUAUUUAAUUUCAAAAUACAUAGUGACAAGAAUCUGAAGAAAAUUGAAACAACUAAGCAAGCAAAGAAGCUAACCAGUAUAUAAAAAAUUAAUAAUAAAUUAUGAGGUGAUGAAAGUUAAUAAAAAUUUUGAUUAAGGUGGACAAAUUUUAUUACGAUGAGUGACAAUGGUUGCAAGGACUCAAAAUUGUUUUUUAAAAUUUAACUCGAACAAAUAUAUUCGAUUCGAUUCGAAUUCCAUCUCACUCAACUCGAUUCGAGAAAACUUCAAAUAAAGUUAGGAUGAUAAAAUGAGAUUCGAAAACUCGAUUAACUCGAAAAUUUUCGAUUCGAUUCGAUUCGAUGCGAUCGAAUGCUCACCUCUAGCGGUGGCGGUGAGAUUAGAUACUGUAGCGAUACUGUAGCGUGAGACAAAAAGUAAGCUAAAUACACUGCACCCAAUCGUCCAUCUAAACCCAUCCUAAGUGUCAUUUACCUAUUUAUUUAAAAAAUAAAUAACAAUGUUAUAUGUGUAUUUAUUACAUUGUGGCUUCAAUUUGAUGGGUUUUUUUUUUAUAAAUUUAUUAAUUGAGAUGAUGAGAGUAUAAAUAUUAUAUGAAAAGGGCAACAAAACUUAAGUUGUUAGCUGAUAGGUUGUUGAGACCUACAAAAAUAAAAUCUACUUAAAUAAAUGAAAUUUUGUAGUUAAUUGUGAGUUGAAUUCACGAAGAUCAAUAAUAAUUUUAUUUAUUUAAGAAACAAGUAAAAUAAAAAUUAAAUAAAGAUAUUUGAAAUUAAAAACUAAAAUUAAAACAAAGUAAAAAGAAAUCGUAAAAUAAAAUAUAAGACAAUCUCCGUUUCAUUCAAGGGUUUGAUCAUUGAUACAAAAAUGAUUUCAAUGCUUUUUAAUAAAUUGGUUAUAGUUGUUGAUGAUUGUCGAGCAACUUAAUCUCUUUUUACCUUCUUGAUAACCAAGACAAUCAUCAUUAAUUACUUUCCUUAUUGACAAAUAAUCCUAUAACAAUCAUUUAGGAUUUAAUCUAUCAAUAGCAUUAAGAACAAAAAAAAAUCCAAUUCUGACCAACAAACAUACAAUCAAGGUUCAUUUAAGUUAGAUCGCACGCUCACACUACACGAACAAAGAUGUAGUUCGUGACAAAUAUUAGAAAUCAAUCAAUUGAUUAAAUACUUAAUUGAUAAGGCAAUCAUUUUAAGCUAUCAAAUACUGGUAAUAUAUUUAACAAACUUGAACUAUUGUAAUUAAACUAGAAGAUAUGCAAAUACCAAAGAACAAGGAAAAGAUUAAGAAUAACUCGAACUCACAAACUUUAUAGAAUCAAACUUCAAAUAAUUCUUUGACUAAAACGGAAAGUUUAGCAACCCAUGAAGACAAUAAAACACAAAAUCAAAAUAAAAUUAAGGGUGGUUAUGCUUCCGUCUCCCAAACAAAAGUGCCAUUGAAUACAUAAAUCAAAAUUUUUAUAGAUUUUUUGAUAAUUUUCACGUCAAACUUUCAGACCGUUUUUUGCACCUUCCUGAUUUUUUAGUCUCUUCGAAUUAUUAUGGAUCCAAAACAGAAGUUUAUAACUCAAGUUAUGACUAAAAUACUGAAACUACAUUGUAUUGAAAGUCCAAAUCGCAAAAACUUGUCAAAAUUAUACUUUAAACUCAUUUUUCUCUAGAUAUUCUCUAAAUUUAUAAUAAAUAAAAUAUAUUUAUAAAUAAUAUAAUUAAAAACAUAAUUAGAGAAAAAAUAUAACAAAUAAUUUAGAAAUUACGCAUUUUGUCAUUAACAUUGAUUUAAUAUUUUUUUUCUAAACUUCUCAUUCUUAAAUGUUUAUGCACACUCAAAUUCUCGUUGAAUAGCAAUCAAGUUAAAAGUCUAUCAGCUAAACUCAAUUAAUAUUUUAAAUGUACCCAUUCAAAAAAAAAUUUUAUUUUAAUUGUGAUCUUUAAACCAAUAACAUUAUCCAAGAGAAUGCCUUUACUUUAUCUUGAAUGCAGAUAGUGGUUGGCAAUUAGUAUACCUAUAAAGCUGUAAAUUAUAUUAGAGUAGAAAUCGAAACCCCAGAUUUAAAAAAAAAAGAAAGGCAGGCUCGACACAUUUAUCUGAGAUGUUCCAAGUUUUCAUUGCUGCAAUUGUUUGAUGCAACUCUUCUUUACCAAGUAGGUUCUUCUAACUUUUACAGUGCAUUCAGGUUGGUUGGCAGUGAUGAAAGGGAAUUGAUUCGGGUUCUGCUGAGAGAAGUUCUGCAACAAGUGAAUAAUACUCCUGUGGAAGUAGCAACCUACGCAGUUGGACUGGAUACGCGGGUGACAGAGCUAAUAAAUCUCUUAGACGUGAAGUCCAGUGGCAUUAAAGUUGUGGGGCUUCAUGGGAUUGGCGGGAUUGGGAAGACAACCCUUGCCAAGGCUGUCUUUAACAAGAUACUCGUACACUUUGACCACCGCAGCUUUAUCUCAAAUGUCAGAGAACUUUCAAAACAAGGAGACGGUUUAGUAUCUCUCCAGAAAAAACUCAUUGGUGAUCUCUUCGGUUCCACUGGUAAUUUUCAUCUUCCUGCGGAUGAAUUCGAUGCUAAUGCCUCGAGAAUCAGAAAGAUUAUUAAUGAAAAUAUUAAUGAAAAAAGGGUUCUAAUUGUCCUGGAUGAUGUCGACCAAGAAAACCAACUGAAUGCACUAGGACUAGGUGCAAGAGUCAAAUGGCAAAAUGAUGGCAGUAUUCGGAUCAUUAUUACAACAAGAAAUAAAGGAGUUUUAAAUGAAUGUUAUGUAAAUCGGACUUACGAGGUCAGGGAAUUGCAUUUUGAUCAAGCACUAGAACUUUUCAGCUAUCAUGCGCUCAGAAGAGAGAAACCAACAAAAGAGUUUGAGAAAUUGUCCAAGCAACUUGUAGCUCUCACUGGAAAUUUACCUUUGGCUUUGGAAGUGUUCGGUUCGUUUUUGUUGGACAAGAGGAAGGUAACAGAAUGGGAAGAUGCUUUGAACAAGUUGAGAGAUGUUCGUCCACACGAGCUUCAAGAUGUGCUGAAGAUAAGCUUCGAUGCGCUAGACAGAGAAAAUCAAUGCAUAUUCCUAGAUGUAGCCUGCUGUUUUCUCGAUUUGCAUACCAAGAGAGAGGACAUAAUUGAUGUAUUGAGAGGAUGUGGUUUCAAAGCUGAAAUAGGGUUAAGAGUUCUUGAGGAAAAAUCACUGAUUAAGUUCACUGAGGGCGAUGCUCUUUGGAUGCAUGAUCAACUUAGGGACAUGGGAAAAGAGAUUGUGCAAAAUGAAAAUGACGAUCCUGGAAUGCGCAGCAGGCUCUGGGAUCGAAACCAAAUCAUGACUGUCCUGCAAAAUCACAAGGUAUAUUAUAUAUAAGAAAUGUCUUGCAUAUUUGAUACUGUUGAUACAUUACUUCGUUAUACUAUUGACAAUAGGGAACAAGAAGCAUUGAGGGUAUUGUAAUGGACAUGAAGAAAGUCGAGAAUGGGAAUCAGGUGGUAGUCCAUACAAAACCAUUUAAAUCAAUGGUUAAUCUAAGAUUGCUUCAGGUGAAUCAUGUGAAACUGGAAGGAAAGUUUAAAUUUGUUCCUCAUGAACUCAAGUGGCUUCAAUGGCAAGGAUGUGCAUUGAAAACUCUUCCUUCUGAUUUUUGUCCUCAAAAGCUUGCUGUCCUUGAUCUCUCAGAAAGCAAAAUCGAAAAGCUAUGGAGCUCUUACUCUAACAAUGUAAUGACAUAUCGUUUUAGAUAUACGCACUGUCUACUUUCUUCUGCUUGUAACUAGCUAGUUUGUGGAAAUAUAUAAGCAAUAUUUGUUUGUUUCAGGUUGCUGAAAACUUGAUGGUCAUAAACCUGCGUGGUUGCCCUCAUUUGGCUUCUCUUCCUGAUUUAUCAGGACAAAAAAACCUGCAAAAGAUUGUUCUCGCGUAUUGUGUAAAACUGAUAAACAUUGACAAGUCAGUUGGUACUUUAAUUUCCUUGCACCACUUGGAUAUGACAGGCUGUUUAAACCUUGUUGAAUUUCCAAGUGAUGUCUCAGGGAUGAAAAACCUUCAAACCCUUGUCCUCACCGAUUGCUCCAAUUUGAAGGAAUUACCCGAGGACAUAGGCAGCAUGAGGUCACUCAAAGAACUAUAUGUUAAUCGAACUGGCAUUGAGAAGCUGCCAGACUCUAUUUACCGUCUCGAGAAACUUGAAAAACUGAGCCUAAAUCGUUGCAUACAUAUCAAACAGUUGCCAAGAUGUGUAGGAAAGCUAGCUUCUCUCAAGGAACUUCAUCUUGAUGGAUCUGGAUUACAAGAAUUGCCUGAUUCUGUUGGAUAUUUGGAGAACCUGGAGAAAUUAAGUUUAAUAUCUUGCGAAUCAUUGACUGCAAUUCCUGAUACUGUUGGCAAUCUCAACUUAUUGAAAGAGUUGUUCAUAAAGGGUAGAGCAAUCACAGAGUUGCCAAAUUCUAUCAGUUCUUUAUCAUAUCUCAAGUGCUUGUAUGUUGGAGGCAUACAGAUGCGGAAAUUGCCAGACUCAAUUCGAGGACUGGUUUCUUCAGUGGAACUUGAAAUAGAAGGCACAUCAAUUACGUGUCUCCCAAGUCAGAUUGGUGAUUUGAGAUUACUUAAGAAGCUUGUGAUAUUUAAUUGCACUUCACUUGAAUCUCUGCCAGAUUCAACUGGGGGCUUGUUUGCUCUCACUUCUAUCAACAUAUUCAAGGCCAGUAUUACUGAGUUGCCAGAGUCUUUUGGGAUGUUGGAAAAUCUCAUCACGUUAAGAUUGAACAAGUGUAGAAAGCUUCAUAAACUUCCAUCCUCAAUGGGAAAUUUGAAGUCAUUGCAUCAUUUGUAUAUGAAGGAAACUGCUGUGACAGAAUUACCAGAAAGCUUUGGCAUGCUCACAUGUUUGAUGGUGCUGAACAUGAGAAAGGAUCCCAACAAGCAAGAGCAACCAAAUUCAUCAUUUGUAGCGUUGCCAGCAUCUUUCACAAAUCUCUUAUCGCUGCAAGAACUUGAUGCUCGGGCCUGGAGAAUAUGUGGUGAAAUCCCAGAUGAUUUUGAGAAGCUGGCAGCAAUAGAGAGUCUGGAUUUGGGUAGCAAUGAUUUCUAUAAACUACCAUCAAGUCUAAGGGGACUGUCACUUCUAAGAGAUCUCAAGCUGCCCAAAUGUGAAAAGCUUCAGUCCCUGCCUCCACUUCCCUCUAGUUUGGAGAAGUUGAAUCUUGCAAACUGUAUAUCAUUGGCGACAUUAUCUGAUCUUUCCAAUAUAAAGGGCUUACAAGAAUUAAACCUUACAAACUGUGAGAAAUUGGUAGAUUUGCCAGGCCUUGAGUCCUUAACGUCCUUGAGAGAAUUGUAUAUGAGUAACUGCAGUACCUGCGCUUCAGCAGCAAAGAAAAGACUCUCCAAGGUUAGUUUUCUUUCUUUUAGAAAGUUUAUAUUUAAUGCACCUUCAGUUUAUAAAGCUUGGUAUAUUUAUAAUGACAAAACAUCUUUUUAUAAUCUUUCCAUGUAGUAUAUUUUAUCAUCUCACCUUAAUGUUUAGAUUCAAGUUUCAAGAUAAAAACACACUAAGUAAUAUUUUUCCAAUUUUGUGAAGAACUUAAAUAUGGUAUAAAUAGAUAUUAUAUAUAAUAUUUUUUAUUGAGUUUAUUCAAACAAUAAAUAGCAAAUAAAUCACGUUUGGGAUGGAGCUUUUGAAUAUUGAUGCAACUAAUUUUGCAGGUUUAUCUCAAGAAUCUGAGAAAUCUAAGCAUGCCUGGAAGUAGAAUUCCAGAUUGGUUUACACAAGAGAUGGUUACCUUUUCAAGCCACAAAACCCGUGAUCUCACUGGGGUGAUAAUCGCAGUUGUUGUUUCCAUUAACCAUCAUAUUCCAGAUGAACUGAGAUACCAACUGCCUGCCGUGCUGGACAUUCAAGCACAGAUCUUCAAUGGCGAGGAGGCAAUAAUGACCACUGCAUUGAACUUAAUUGGGGUACCUAGAACCAACCAAGGCAAUGUUCACUUGUGUCGAUAUCCCGCAUAUCGUCCCUUGGUUUCCAUGUUGAAGGAUGGUUUUAAGAUUAAAGUGACCAGGCGAAACCCGCCCUACGUACAGGGCGUAGAGCUGAAGAAAGCUGGGAUUUUU
rnacentral:lncRNA from 1 species